UUUUUAAUAUUAAAUGACACUAUAAAUACUUGACUCCCUGAAUUCAAUUCACAACUCAAUCAUUUCAGUUUUGCACACUUUGAUAAACAGAAGAAACCCAUUUCAAUUCACUUCAAUUUUUGUUUCAUUGCACCUUGUGACUACAUAGAUAAAAUUAAAUCACUUAUUGAUGGCUUUGAUUUCAUCUUUCUUCAGUUGCUUUGGCUACUCUUCUAACUUAUCAUCUCAAGUUUCUGAUUAUGAUGAAAUAUCUCAAUCAAAAUCUUCAUCUUCAAAGAAACCAAAGAGUAAGGAAAUUUCAAAGGGAGCUCCAAUUUUAGUUUCUUAUUUUCCUUUUAACUAUUAUCCUUCACGCUUGUAGUCACACAGUGUUAAUCUGCAUCAACUUCUUACCAAAAGUGCAAUUGACAUUUAUUUAUUUAUUUGUUUAUUAUGGGGCAUUAUUUUUUUAAUUUGUUUUCUCUUGUUUCUAUAUAAAAAAAUCUUGUAAUUCAUAAAAAAUUAAUAUUGUAUCUCAUUUAUAGUGUACUAUAUUUAAAUUCAUCUGAAUUUCUAUUGAAAAGCAAAACAAUGUAUAGAAAACUUUAGCAAAUAAACAUGGACGCGGGAUUUAAUGGAAAAUAAUUACACUAAUGAGGCAGAACAAUGCACAAGCAUAAUUGGUGCAAGAAAUUUUCUUAUAAAACUAGUACUAUAUAUUUAUACCUAGGAUUGUUAAGUAGUUUGGUUGAUAAAAAAUUGAAUCAAGUAUAAUUGAAUUGACCAUUACAACAGGUUGAUAAAAUUGAACUGUUAAUUGUUUGUCUUGAGACUAACCAAACUAAUAAAAUCAAAAUAAACUAUUAUCUGAACUGAACCAAAAACUACUUUUAUUAAAACUUGAACUAUACUUCUUUGAACCGAACCCUCUUGCAAUGCUAUUAUUAAUUGAUAUUAGUAUUAUUUAAGAAGGUUUAAAAACACAAAAAAAAAAAAUCAAACUGUUAAAUCGAACCACAGAAAAAAAAAUAUCUAUACUAAGAUAUUUCACAAAUGAUACUAAACUGAUACAUUUAGAUUCAUUAUCCACCCGACGCACUUUUUGACAUCCCUAAUUAUACUCUUGUGUUAAGGAGUAACUCCUCAAGUAUAGCCAACAUCAAGUUAAAAAAAAAAAAAUAUUAAGUUAAAGCAACAACUAUAGAACCAUAAAAGUGUGUCGCCUGAAUAAAGAAGUGUUGCUUUAUUUCAACCAAACUCAUUACUUUAUUACUUUAUGUAAAUAGGUUUUUACCAUAUAGUAGCAUAGAAUUAUUUUGUUUUUAUCAUUGAGUUUGAUAUUUACAAACAGUGAUGAGUUUGGUUGAAAUUGAAGAAUUUGAAAAAGUUCCUUAUUGAUUAGUAUUAUAAAUGAAGAGAGAGGCAAAUGUUAUAUAUUCUUAUGUGAAAGUGUUGUGAGAUGUUUAAAUAUUUGCUUUAGAGAAAGUGUGUGUUUACUCAGAGGUAUGAUAAGUUUUGAGAGAAGUCUAUGAAUUUUGAUUGUUUUUUUAUUUUAUUUUUCUAUGUAUGUUUUUAUCAUAGAUCUAUAUAUAUGAAACUAUUUUUAGUCUUAUUUCUCUUAUUUCUCUUUCAGUUUGUUUAUUAUAUAUACUCAUUUUUGUGGAAGACUCUUGUUAUUUGUUGGAAUGUUGUUUGUUUGAUGCAAGUUAUUACCAAGAAUACUAAAAAGAUUUUAGUGUAUUUAUUAUUUUACAUAUUACAAGGCUUUAAUAUAUUAGGUCUGGUAGUUUUUUGCGUUAAAUUUGGGGUGCGUUGAUAUUUAUUUUAUAUAUAAGAUAAGAGAUAGUAUUAUUCUAGAGAUAGUAUUAAAUAAUAUAUUUUAAAUUCUAAACCGUCUGAAAAGUACAUUUUUAACAAAAAAAUUUGUAAUUUUAUUAAAAUAUUAUUAUUAAUUUUAAAAUAAAUCUUUUUUAAAAAAAAAAAAAAGACAUCGUCUCUUGGAUCUUAACAUAUAUUAAGAUAUAAGGUGAAUGUAAAGAACUAAUUAAUUCCUAUGUUCUAAGUAACUAAAUUAUUUCCAAAACUUAUUCCUUAAGUACUGAGGUUAGUACAUUGUAAUAUCUCAUUCUCUUUACUUCAGUUUGCAAACGAUAUCGUAAUAAUAUGUGACGAUGCAAGUAGUAAUUUGUGAGGGUUAAAAGUAAUCUUAUGCAGUUUCGAGCGGGUAUUGGGUCUUAAAGUAAAUAAUGCUAAAAGUGGUGUGGCGGGUUUGAAUCUGAGGAAUAAUCAAUUGGACGCAACAACGGAUUUUUUGUGUUGCCUGAUUGGCUUGUGCCCUUCAAAUUUCAAGAAUUAACCAUCAGUGCAAAUCAGCGGCGGACUUCAGCAUGGCGGCCGAUUGUGAAUAUGGUUAUAAGAAAAUGUUGUCUUCGUGGAAGGGUAGGCAUUUGUCUUUUGGUGGCAGAAUAACUAGGGGUGGGCAAAGUUCAAUUAUCAACUAUAACCGUUUGAAAAUUGAACCAAACUGAUUUUCAGUUUGAAAAAACAGAAUCGAACCGGUUUUCAGUUCAAAAAAUCGAACCGAACUGUUUUAUAAGCUGGUGAACUGAUUUAUUAUUUUGAACCAAACUGAACCGGUUUAACUUAGUUUUUUGUUCAUAUAGGCAAAAUUUUACAAAAUUACUCUUAAUUACUUCUAAAUAAACAAAUUCGGUUCAAAUUUUUUGAAAUAAAAACCGGUUCAAUUUAGUUCUAGUUUUAAAAAAUCAGUUCGAAAACAGUUAGAUUCUUAAUUUUUAUAAAUCAGUUCAGUUUAAAACCAGUUCGGUUCAGUUCGGCAGUUUGAUUCAGUUUUUGAUUUUUUUGAACACCCCUAAGAAUAACUCUUAAGAAUAACUCUAUAUUUUAUGUCCUUCUUUGGAGCGGGGUGCGAGAGUCAAAAAAGAAUUGUUGGAUUGGAUGAGAUAAAGUUUGUUUACCAAAGAAACUCAAUGGUUUAGGGAUAAAGAACAUUAAGGAGUUUAACAUCGCCCUUCUGACCAAUUAAAGAUGGAGAUUUCUAGUUGACACAUAAAGUAUUUGGUAUGAGUUGCUACAGUUCAGGUACAGUAACUUGUAUAAAGCAUCUUUAUGUCUGCAUAUUGCAAGAACAAACAAGUAUCAAUCAUUGUGGUGGAGAGAUUUGUUGUCUUUCAACUUGACAGCGAACUUUAAUGAAAACUGGUCGUCGAAAAUGUCAAAUUAAGGCUAGGGAAUGAUGAUCAAAUGAAGUUUUUGGAAAGAUUCAACUUUCGAAUGCGUGAACAUUGUUGCGUACUGUGUUUUAGGAGCUAUGAGAUGUGCCAGCAUAUGUUAUUUGGGUGUCAAUUUUAAAGUAGGAUAUAUAAUGGUAAAUGUCAUUGGCUAGGGUUCGUUUUAAUAGCAGCAUUCAUUUUCUACAAUAUAUGGGACUGAUGUAUCACAUUAAAUUUGUAGCAUGUAACUGGUUUUUAUCUUACAUAGCAUGGAAAACAUUUUACGACUUUGUUGAUUGGUGUGCAAAUCCAUUACUUUGUCUUGAAAAUUUGUAAUUGGGUGUGUGCUUUUAAUUAGACAGUUGUCAUUUUAAUGAUUUAUUUGUGUGAGGAUUCAACUUAUGCUGUAAGUAAUUGUUAUUACUAAUUUGAAAUUAGGUAAUUCUAGAACCACGUAGAAUUUCCAUGUAAGAAUCUAGAAGUGCUUUAAUUAUAGAAAAUUAUGAGAAAUAUCAAGAACUCGGUAAUAAUUAGGAAGCUUUUAGAAAUGUGUCUAGAGUUUUCUAUUUGUACCUAUAAAUACCUACUUGUACUUGACAUUAAGCAUCAAGCAAAAUUGUCAGUUUUCUAUUAGAAAUACCUUCUUUUCUCUAACAAAAUGGUAUUAGAGCUUGGUUGUGAGAGUUGAGAAAUGGCGACUCGUGAUUACACUACUUUCCAUUUUCCUCUUCUAAAGAAAGAGAAUUAUGAAAAAUGGUGCCUUCGCAUGAAAGCAUUGCUUGGCUCUCAAGAUGUAUGGGAGAUUGUUGAAAAAGGCUAUGAUGAGCCACAAGAUGAAGAGGGAUUGUCUCAAGUUGCGAAGGAGGCUUUGGCAAAAACAAGGAAGAAGGAUCAACAAGCUCUUACUCUCAUUCAUCAAUGUUUGGAUGAUUCUAUGUUUGAGAAGGUUGUCGAUGCUACAAAUUCAAUGGAAGCUUGGAAUAUUUUGGAAAAAUCACUCCAAGGCAUUGACAAGGUGAAGAAGAUAAGACUUCAAUCUCUAAGAGGAGAUUUCGAAGCUUUGAAUAUAAAGGAUUCCGAAUCAAUUUCAGAUUAUUGCUCAAGGAAGAAGACAAUUGUUAAUCAAAUGAAGAGAUAUGGAGACAAGAUAAAAGAUAUUCGUGUAGCGGAGAAAACUAUUCGUUCCUUGACUCCUAAGUUUGAUGAUGUGGUAUGUGUUAUUGAGAAAUCGAAAGAUCUUGACUCAAUGUCCAUUGAGGAAUUAGAAGGUUCAUUGCAAGCUCAAUAAGAAAGAAUGACGAAAAGGCAACGGGAGCCAUUAGAGCAAGUUCUCAAGAUCAAAGCUUCCCUGAAGGAUGACAGAGGAUUCAAUAGUCAAAACGAACAUGGACGUGAACAAGGAAGAGGACGAGGACGUGGUCGUUGCCAAGGAGGAAGAGGAAGAGGUUUCAAUCAUGAAUCAAACUACGAAGAAAGAAGUCACUCAUCACCAAGAAUUCGUGGAAGAGGAACAGGUUAUGGCUAUAAUCAAAGUGAAAGGAGGUAUGACAAAUCUAAAGUUGAAUGUUAUAACUGUCAUGAGUUUAGCCAUUUUUCUUGGGAAUGUCGUAAUGCUCCUAAUCAAGAGGAAGAAACGGCUAAUCUUAUUGACGAAGAUGAAGAGUCAACUUUGUUGCUAACACUCAAGGAAGAAGAGAGAGAUGCUAAUAGUUCAUGGUACUUGGACAAUGGUGCAAGUAACCAUAUGUGUGGAUGUAAAGAGAAAUUUGUGGAGCUUAAUGAAAAGAUGAAUGGAAAUGUUUCCUUUGGAGAUUCAUCAAAAGUGAAAAUUGAAGGGAAAGGUACGAUUCUAAUCUCUUCUAAAGAUGGGAGCCAUAAGUUGAUUAGUGAUGUAUACUAUGUGCCUAAAUUAAAGAGUAAUAUUUUGAGUUUGGGUCAAUUUCUUGAAAAAGGAUAUGAAAUUCUCAUGAAAAAUAAACAUCUUUGGCUUAGAGAUCAAAAUAAUAAUUUAAUUGCUAAAGUUCUUAUGUCGAAAAAUAAAAUGUUUAUCUUGAACCUAAGAACUAUUGAAGCAAAAUGUUUGAAGAUGAGUGUCCAAGAUGAAGCAUGGCGUUGGCAUAUGAGGUAUGGCCACUUGAACUUUUGUGCACUUAAAAUUAUGGGAGCAAAGAGUAUGGUGAAAGGGAUGCCCUCAAUCAAUCAUCCAAAUCAAUUGUGUGAAGGUUGUCUUCUUGGCAAGCAAGCUAGAAAAAGUUUCCCUAAAGAAGCCACAUCAAGAGCAACUAAGCCGCUGCAACUUGCACUACUAGAAAUUUCGCCUAUAGUUACCGAUUUAGUAACCGAAUAUUUUCAGUCACACUGGCGACCGAAAUAGAGACUGUAAUUUUGAACUUAUGAACUAAAUAUUUUUUUGUCACUAUAUCGGUCGCUAAUGAAAUUUAGAGACUGAAAUAACAACUAAAUUUUAGCGACCAAACAUUUAGUCGCUAAUUAUCACCAAUAUAAACUUUGCCUUCUAUACUAGCGACCGAAAUAGAGACUGAAAUUUUAAACCUUAAAACUAAAUAUUAUUCCGUCACUAAAUUUGUCACUAAUAAAAAGUAGAGAUUAAAAUAGCAACUAAAUUUUAGCGACCAAAAGUUCAGUCGCUAACUAUUUUUUAAUUACAUAAUUUAAUUUUCUUUAUUAAUAAAAAAAAAAAAGAAAAAUAUGAAAUAGUUUUUGCAGAAUUAAUUUUUUUUAGAAAAUGUGAAAUAUUUAAUAAUUAAUUAGAAAAAAAAAAGAAAUAAUAAAAAAAGAAAUAAAAAAACAAAAUUAUGUAGUGAUGCAUUUGAAUAUUCUGUCGAUUUUUUUUUCUUUUUCAGUUUACUCAAAUAAACCCUAAAACCCCAUUUCCCUCGACCUUAAGUAAUCGACUCCCAGCCUACUUGGUUCAAGCAGUUAAGCCAAAGCAACACUUAUUCAUUACCGGACUCAAUUCUUUUGUUCACUUCUCUUUCUUUUCUUUCACUAUUCCCACCAAGCCUUGGGUUCUCUUGAUGCUUUCAAUCAAUUUUUCUACAAACAAAAAAAAUCGGUUCCGUUUUCUCUCUCAACCCAUCACAAAUCCUAAAACCAUCUUUUGUUGCUAAUCCCCUCUCAAAUCAACCUCCGCAACUACGACGUGAAGCCAACCGAGUCUCUUAAACUACAAAUGUGGCGUGAAGCGCUCAUUGUUUGUUGUCUCGUCGGCUAUCGUGAACCAAAAGGUAAGGAAUUUAUAUUAUAAUUUUCUAAUUAUGCUUCACUAUUGUUGUUUUUUUUUUCUCUGUGAUGUAAUCAUUUUGAAUUUAUUUAACUAAAGGGGUAAAGAAAUUCUGCAUAUAAGGUGUUUGAUAAUAUGCACUUUUUGAUAAUUUUAACUAAAGGGGGUAAUGUGUUACUAAAAUUUAUUGUUGCAGUUGGUAAUUAGUAAAUUACAUGUUUUCUUGGUUUAAUUAGUAAACUACAUGUUUUCUUGGCUUAAUUAGUAAACUUUGCAUGUUAAUCACUCCAUCAAUAUCCAAUUUGAGUUCUAAUGUUUGUGUUGGUUAUGUUUAUCUGCUUCUGUUUUUUUUUUUUUGUAAUUUUUAGUUGGUAUAUUAGAUCAAUAAUACUAAUCAUCUCUCAUUUCAUUUAAUAGUGAUUUAAUAGUGAAAACAAGAUUAUCCAUAGUGCAAGACUUAACUCAAUUAUACACCAUAGAAUUAACCUCAAAAUGCAUGUGUAAGUUUUUAUUAUAAGAGGAAAUCAGAUUAGGAUUAAACAGACAGUGAGAAAGAUUAAGGUGUGAAAAAAAUAACAAAAGAAGAAAACCAUCAAAUUUUAAAUCAGCUGAGUCCUUUAGUUCAGCAAUACAGCACAUUAAAAUCUUCCUUCAAAUUUAGUAAUAAUAGAACAAGCUGACUACAAUAACUUACUUUGAGCGUAUUGUUCUAAUUUUACAAAUCCAAAGCUGUUUUUCAUUUAAUUCAUUUUAAGAAAAUCUGAGAUUACUUUAUCUACAGAUAGACUAUCAGCCCUUUAAGCAAUUCCCAGUAAGCAUUUUUUAUACUACUAUCUAUCAAUAGCAUGGAUCACUUAUGCUCUAUUGGAACUCGAUACAUUAAUAAAUAAUUUAUAAAGUAUGAAUGCAGAAUCAUUGCAUGCCAUUACUGUCAGAUCAUGUUGCGUUCAUCUAAUCCAAAUUGCAGGUGCUUUGGAAGGUUAUUAUAUUUAUCAUUUGAUAUCACCUUAGCUUUUACACAAUAUAAUUAUGUUGUGUGCAUUUCAUUUUUGUUUUGCAAACUAAUUUUUGUAAUUUUGUUUUGCAAAUUUCAUUUUUAUUGUGCAAAUCAAUAUUAUGUUUACAAGUUUUUAAUGUUGAGUUUUUUUAUGUUGUUAGACGGAUUUGAAUGACAUUCCUCCUAGUCAUUCAGAUUUGUUUCUCCACACACAUAAACGUGGCAAGGAUAAAAUUUGGGUUGAUAAAAAAUCGGAAUAUGUUCAUGUAAGAGCUUUCAACUUUAAAAUGUAUAUUAUUUAUUUUUCUAUGUUGGUUUUUUUAUCUUCAUAUAAGAUCGAAAUAAAGUGUUUUAAAGUAUUAAUUAGCUUUAUAUUUAUGUUGACAGGAAAAAUUUAAAUGUAGGUUUGAAGAAUUGACCCAAGAAACAACUUCACAAGGAACUCCUCCACCAAAUGAAUUAGAUGUGUGGUGUGAGGUUGCUGGAAUAAAAAGAGGACGAAUAUAUGGUCUCAGAAUAGAAUCUACUGUAUUGUUAGGGAGAUCUAAUUAUCGUGGAUCAUGUUCUUCAUCAACAAAGUGGGUUCAAAGACAUGAAUUUGAAGAAAUGAGAAAUGAAAUAGAUCAACUUCGAGAGGAAUUGGCUAAUACAAAUAAAGCAGUUGAGCGCAACAACCACUUGAUAAAACAACUGAUGAAUAGCUUGAACUUUAAACUCAUGCCAUAUACUAGAGAUCAAAUUCAUGAAGAUGAGAUUAGUGAUAAUGAUGCUCGUGAUCAUGAUGGUGAAGAGUUAGAUGGAUAGUGAUAAGUUAAUCUGAGGAAACCGAUAUGUUGCAAUUUGUUAUGACUAAAUAUAUUAUGUUUAAACUAAAAUUUUAUUUGUAUUAUUUUGAGUACUUACAAAUAUUAGUUAAAUGUAUUUUGUUCUUUAAUUAUAUACAUUGAUAUGAUUAAUAUUUUCAAAUGAUUUUGGUGUUUGAAUUUUUUAGAUAUUGAAAACAAAUUAAAAAAUUAUUUUUAUUGUUCUUCUGAACAUUAAAGUAAUGUAUUUAAAAAAAACAGUAAUAUUUAGAGACGUAAUUGGUGACUAAAUAUUUAAUAAAAAUAAUAAUUACAUCACAAAUUUCGUCUCUGAAUCGGUCGCUAAUGACAUAAAAAAUUAAUUCAAAGUGGUUGCUAAAUCAGUCUCAAUAAUUGGUCACAAAAUUAGUCACAAAAUUCAAUCACAAAAUCGGUCACAAAAUUCGGUCACUAAAUCAGUAACUAAAUUCGGUCACUAAAUUCGGUCGCUGAUUUGGUCACAACAGCUAGCGACUAGCAGUUUACCAACUGAUUUAAAUUGGUCACUAAUUUGGUCGCUAUUGGAUUUAGUGACCGAUUUUUUCUAUUUAGUGAUCGAAAAAUUGGUCUCUAAAAGCGUUUUUUCUAGUAGUGUUGUGCAUACUGACUUGUGUGGACCAAUCAAUCCAUCUUAAUUUGGUAAGAGUAAAUAUUUCAUUCUCUUUAUUGAUGAUUUUAGUAGAAAAACUUGGAUUUAUUUCUUAAAACAAAAAUCAGAAGCUUUUGUUGCUUUCAAGAACUUCAAAGCUCUUGUAGAGAAGGAAAGCGAUCAUGAAAUCAAAGCUUUGAGAUCUGAUCGAGGAGGUGAAUUCACUUCGAAGGAGUUUAAUGAAUUUUGUGCAACUCAUGGAAUUCUUCGUCCAUUGACAGUUCCAAGAUCUCCGCAAUAGAAUGGAGUAGCUGAGAGAAAGAACAAAACUAUUUUGAACAUAGCACGAUGCAUGCUAAAAUCCAAAAGGAUGCCAAAGGAGUUUUGGUAUGAAGCAGUUUGUUGUGCGGUCUAUUUGUCAAAUCACUCUCCAACUUCAAAUGUCAAAGACCAAACCUCUCUAGAAGCAUGGAAUGGAAGGACGUCUAUUGUUAAUCACUUGCGUGUCUUUGGGAGCAUAGCAUAUGCACAUGUGCCACAACAAGAAAGAUCCAAACUAGAUGAUCGAAGCAUCAAACAUGUUUUUGUUGGCUAUGAUCCACAUUCUAAAUGUUACAAGUUAUUCAACCCAUGCAACAAUAAGGUAAUGGUGAGUCGUGAUGUUGAAUUUGAUUAAGAUGCUACAUGAAAUUGGGAGGAUCAAGAAGAAACAAACUAUAAUUUCCUUCCAUAUUUUGAAGAAGAUCGAGAGGCCACAACACCAGUUCAAGAUGCAACUCCACCUUCUUCACCUCCUCCAUCACCUACUUCUCUAGAUGAAAGUUCAAGCGAGAUACCAAGUAAGAUGAAAGAUAUAGAAGACAUUUAUGAAAGGUCAACUAAAAUUACUCUUGACCUUGAAGAGUUGUAUUGUCUCUGGACGGAUAGCGAGCCAUUAAAUUAUGGAGAAUCAAUGAAAGAUAAAAGGUGGAGACAAGCCAUGGAUGAGGAGAUCAAAUCAAUUGUGAAGAACAACACUUGGGAAUUAGCAACUCUUCGAAAAGGCCAUGAAGCAAUUGGAGUCAAAUGGUUGUACAAGGCUAAAAAGAAUGCUAAUGGAGAGAUUGAAAAAUACAAAGCAACACUUGUUGCCAAAGGCUACAAACAAAAACAUGGAGUUGACUAUGAAGAAGUUUUUGCACCAGUUGGUCGCAUGGAUACUAUUUGUUUGCUAAUCUCUUUAGCAGCUCAAAAUAAGUGGAAAUUGUAUCAGCUUGAUGUAAAAUCGGCAUUUCUAAAUUGCUAUCCUGAAGAAGAGGUCUAUGGUGGGCAGCCAAUGAGGUACCUGAUUAAAAGACAAGAAGAUAAAGUUUUGAGAUUGAGGAGAGCGUUGUAUGGAUUAAAGCAAGCACCAAGAGCAUGGAAUAGUCGCAUCAACAAAUACUUCCAAGACAAUGGGUUUGCUCGUUGUCUCAAUGAAUAUGCUCUUUAUGUCAAAGUUUGUGAUAAUGGAGAUAUUUUGAGUACUUGUCUCUAUGUGGAUGAUCUUAUAUUCACUAGGAACAAUUCAAGUUUGUUUGAAGAGUUCAAAAAGACCAUGGUGGUUGAGUUCGAGAUGACUGAUAUCGGGCUUAUGUCAUACUACUUAGGCCUAGAAGUAAAGCAAUUUGAAGAAGGUAUAUUUAUUUCUCAAUAAAACUAUGCAAAGGAAGUUUUAAAGAAAUUUAAAAUGUUUGAUUGCAAUCCCGUGAACACACCAAUGAAGAGCGGAUUGAAGUUGUCAAAGUUUGAAGAUGGACAAAAGAAGGACCCUUUUUUUUUUCAAAAGUCUUGUUGGAAACCUAAGAUACUUAACAUGUACAAGACUUGACAUUCUAUAUGUGAUUUGAGUAGUGAGUCAUUUCAUGGAAGCUCCUACUACUAAACACAUGAAAGUCACUAAGAGGAUACUUCGCUACCUUAAAGGUACACUUAAUUAUGGACUAUUUUACUAUUUUUUUAAUGAUUUUAAAUUUUUUGGAUUUUUUAUAGCGACUUUGUGGGAGAUAUUGAUGAUAGAAAGAGUACUAGUAGCUUUAUAUUUUUCAUGGGAGACUGUGCUUUUUCGUGGAGCUCAAAGAAACAACCUAUUGUCACACUUUCAACAUGUGAGUCAGAGUAUGUAGCAGCAACAUCUUGCACUUGUCAUGCCAUUUGGCUAAGGAGAUUAUUGAAGGAACUUCAUAUGCCACAAAAGGAAGCUACUGAUAUUUAUAUAGACAACAAAUCUGCACAAGCACUUGCAAAGAAUCCAAUGUUUCAUGAUCGUAGCAAGCACAUAGACACAAGGUACCAUUUCUUUAGAGAAUACAUUGUCAAGAAAGAUGUUGAGCUUAAGUAUGUGAAGACUCAAGAUCAAGUUGUAGAUAUUUUCACAAAGCCGUGAAAAUUUGAAGACUUUCAAAGGCUAAGAGCAAGACUUGGAAUGAGGAAGAAAAUUUCAAAUUAAGGGGGAACAAUGUUAUUACUAAUUUGAAAUUAGAUAAUUCUAGAAACAUGUAGAAUUUCCAUGUAAGAAUCUACAAGUGCUUUAAUUAUAGAAAAUUAUGGGAAGUAUCUAGUGUAAGACAUAUGCCUCCUUGAUCAUGAUUUUGAUAUAAUCUCCAAACAUACAAUGUAUAUGCAUUAUUUGAUUGAUCUAAUGAUUUGAAUUGAGAAACAUUUCAAGCAAAUAAACAAACACUACACACUUGGACAAAACUUGGAACUCAAGCAAUCAAGCACAAAUGGAUGAGGUCCUACAAGGCUUGAAGACUGAUGUACAAGAGUGUCUAAUGUUAAUAGGGUCAAUUAGGUAGACUUAAUCAUAAUGAGUUCUCAUAUAGUAUUUGCCAAUGAAAUCAUAAAACAAGUUUUAAUCAAUCAAGUAAUAAAUCAAUUGAUAAAUCAAUUGAGCAAUCGAUUGUCUGACUCACAGAAUAAAGGUUUCACUAAGUUAAUCGAUUGGGAAAUCGAUUACUUAAAAGUUUUAUCAAAACUUGUGUUCUGUGUUUAAACAAAUCAAUUGGACAAUCGAUUUGCACAUCAAUUGAGUAAUCGAUUUUGUGAUUCACAGAACCAAGCUCAUACUAAGUCAAUCGAUUGGCAAAUCGAUUAUGAAAAUACUUUUUCAUCAGACAUAUGUUCUGUGAUCAACGAAAUCGAUUGGACAAUCAAUUGAAAUAAGUUUCUUAAGUUGCAAGAAAUGCAUUAAUCGAUUAGAUAAUCGAUUGAUAGAUGUUUCUUGAGCUGCAAGCUUUGCAUCAAUCGAUUAGGUAAUCGUUUGAAAGAAUGAACUGGUUAAUCAUUUAUCAGAAACAUAUUGCAUAAUCGAUUGGCACAUCGAUUUCAACUAAACAACUAAGCUACUGUAACAAGCCAAAUCGAUUGGCAAAUCGAUUGGAGUAAAACAUCUUAGUCCCUGUGAUCAGCCAAGUCGAUUGACAAAUCGAUUGGAGUAAAACAUCUUAGUCACUGUGACCCGCCAAGUCGAUUGACGAAUCGAUUGAAGUAAAAUGUCUGAGUUACAGGGAGCAUUUAUCCCAUUGCCAAAUUGAUUAUGUUAAUAAAUGAAUCGAAUGAGUAAUCGAUUGUUUUGAUCUCGUUGUUUGAACAAAACAAGUAUAAUCGAUUAGUCAAUCGAUUCUGAUACAAACUGAGUAUCAGUCUCUGAUAAUUGCAUUAAAAGGAUCGAUUAGGAAAUCGAUUAGUUCAUAUAUUUCAAGAUUCAAGAAAAACAUGACACGCGAUAAUCGAUUAGGUAAUCGAUUAAGUUGGUAUCAAACUUUAAUAAAAUCGAUUACGAAAUCGAUUUAUAUGAUGUCUUUCUGAAAAUAUAUAAAUUGAAUCAAUCACAAUUUUUUAAACAUCAAUCAUAACACUUUUUCAUAAACACAGAAAACUGAAAAAACACCUUGAGACAAAAAUUGUUACAACACACAAAUACUCAUUGGCUAAUACUUUUGUGUGAGAUCUUACAUUGUGAUUGAGUCAAUUUUCUUAGUCUUCUUUAAUUCUUUUUGAAAGAACAAUUUUUGUAAUUGAAGUUUUGGAAAUCCAAUAGUGGUACACUAGUGGUUAUCUUUUAGGAUGCUUGUGUUCAUCUAAAAGAAACCUCAGCUUGAUCUCGCUAGAGUUUGACGAGUAACUCUUGGGGAUAGGUUGGUAUUGUGAUAGAAGUGGUUAUGAGUUGGAUGGAUAGGCUGUGGCGCUGGAAAGUCUGUAAAAAUAUUCCUCAAAUCAUUCUAGUGAAAGGCUGAAAUCUAUUAUAGAUUUCAGGACUGGAUGUAGGUUAUCAAAGUGAUAGUCGAAUCAGUAUAAAAAUCUCCUGGUGCACUAUUUCCUCUCUCUCUUUACUUUUCAUAUUAAUCUUGCAUGUGAUUGUGAACUUUCGCUUUGAAUAAACUGUUUGAAUCUUUUACUGUUAAAAUAGGAAUUAAUAUUAAACAGGUUGAUUUUGAUAUUAAUUCACCACUUAGGAAAGAAUUAGAUAAUCUUGUUGAUAAUAUUGUUUAAAAUUUCCUAAGGAUAGAAGUGAUAUAACCAACAUCUAGAACUCGGUAUUAAUUAGGAAGCUCCUAGAAAUGUGUCUAGAGUUUUCUAUUUGUACCUAUAAAUAUAUACUUGUACUUGAUAUUAAGCAUCAAUCAAAAUUGAGAGUUUUCUAUUAGAAAUACCUUCCUUUCUCUAACAGUAGUUGCAUAAUGUCAUGUUAGUGAUUUGAUGGGGGUGAUUGGAAUAAACACAAAAAUACAUGAACAAGAAAUGCGUAAAGGAUAUAAAAUUCUCUCAACUUACAAGAAUCUGUGAGUAGCAACAAUAAAUAUAUGGCAACAAAUUAAUAUAAUAAGUACAAGUAAAGAACACCAAUAUUUUAACGUGGAAAAUUCUUCAAUGCAAGGGUAAAAAUCAAAGGUCGUCUAUAUCAAAGAAAUAACUCCACUAUAAUCAAAUAAAAGUACAAGAGAGUUUAAAAAUGAUCUACAAAUUGUGCCUACAACUAGACAAAAUAACAUAGCACUAAAGCUUACAAAUGAAAAAUAUCCCAAAAAGCAGCUAUUGUAUGAGCAUUGUUUCUCUCUCUCUACCAUUGAAAACGAAGACAUGUAUGUUGAGAAUCUGUUGUGCAAAAACCAACCCAAUUCAACUAUUAACAAAUGUGCAAUCAAUAUUUUUCUAAGGCUGAUUUGACAUAAUCGACAAUUGAAUUUACUCUUUAAAAUAGUCUCUCUCAACUCUAAGAAGACAGUGGAUUAUAUAAUUUUUGGACAUAAAUGCAAGUUUGCUAAAUGUUUGCGGCAGUUUGCAAUUUCCAUAGUUGAUUUUUUUUUUUUAUAAGAAUUGAAGUUUCCUCUUUACUCCUUUACUCUAGUUAAUAAAUUUUUUGUUUAUUGAAGAAAAAAAAUUUUCAUGUAGCAAAUAAGUUCGCGAAAAAGACAAACCAAACAACAUUGUAGUUUCGCAUAACUUAAUUAGCACGUUUCUAAAGCAGCCACAGGAGUAUACACAUUUACGAAUCUCUUUUUGACAAAUACUGGACGAAUUUUCAAUUAGCUAUAUGACGCGUGGUCCCAUAUAUCAUGCUCUCCUUGCUCGGUAAGCAAAUAGACUAUUAUCGUUUCAUUGAUUCUUCCUAACUUUUUAUUUUAUAAAAAUAAAAAUCCUACUAUUUGUCAAACUUUGGUCAAAAAGAAAUAAAUAAAUAAUAAAUCCUACCCAAUGAUAUGAUGACACUAUAAAUAGACCAAGUUAAUUACAUGACUUCAAUCUACAACACUACAACUAAAUCAUUUCAGCUUAGCACACUGCACAAAGAGAAACCCAGAUAUAGCUCUUCACACUUGCACAUAGUGCAAAUUAAAUCACUUAUUAUGGCCUUUAUGUCAGCGCUAUUUGAUUGCUUUGGCUCCUCUUCAAAUUUAUCAUCUCAAGAUUCUGAUUAUGAUGAAAUAUCUCAAUCAAAACCUUCAUCUUCAAUGAAAUCAAAGAGCAAGGAAAAAUCAAAGGGAGCUCCAAUUGUUGUUUCUUAUUUUCCAGUUAAUUAUUAUCCUUCACGCUUGUAGUUUACUUGGUAUUAAUCUGCAUAUGCUUUAGCAUGAGACCAAAAUUCCAAUUUAUUUCAAUCAUAUACAAGAUACAAGACGACAUUUAUUUAUUUAUUUGUUUUUGUUUUUCCUUCAUUGAUUUUUUUUUUUAUUAUUGUAAGAAAAAUUAUAGACUUUAGUCAAUUGAGAAUUAUGACCAUCAUGAUAUUUGUUAAAUUUAAUUUAUGUUUAGUUGUGAAUUAGUUAGAUUAAUUUCAAGUUAGUUAGAUUAGUUGCUAGUUGGUUUUAAUAGUCAUUUUGAUAUUUAUAUAUAAAUAGUAUCUCAUACGUAUUGUAAUAAACAAAUUUUUUUAUUAUUUAAUAUAUUAUUCUUUAUUUUGUAAUAUUAUUUGAUAUAUUUCGAAAUUUAUUUCGUAAUAUUAUUUGAUAUAUUUCGAAAUUUAUUUCAUUAAUAACUUAUUAUUUUUAAGUUCCUUUGAAACUUUUAUUAAAAUAAUACUUCAAAAAAUUGUGUAUUAAUUAACAUAGACACAAGCUUCAAUGGAAAACUAACAUACUAAUGAAGCAAAUAACAGUACUCAAGAUGUGUAUGAAUUUUCAAUAAUUAACAAAAAGAGAAAUCAAAAACAAAAAUUAAAUGACAUAAGAAAAACAUAUGGGCAAGACCCCAAUGCACAACCCUCAUCUCUAGGACUAGGACAAAACAACUUUCCAAAAGGAAGUCAAGACAGUCUUCGUACAUAAAAAAGGCAAUAAAUUAACCUCACCCGUGUACUCUAAUAAAUGAUCAAAACAAAUAAAAGAAGAGAAAAUAAACCUUUUUUGGAACCACACGUUAUCUAUGUCUCCUGCUUUUUCUUCUUUACGGUUCUCUCCACCAUAAUUUUUUUUCUCAUAGAUUUAACUUUUUAAAAUAAAUAAUUAAUAUUAAAAAAUAAAAUGAAUAACAUCAAUUAUUUAUUAAUAAAUAAAUAAAUAAUUAUUAUUUUAUAUAUAUGAUCAAUAUUAAUAGUUAUAAUAUUAAUUAGUUGAUCCACUCAAUUAAUCAAUCACUUUAAACAAGUCAAAUCCUUUUUUAUUUCCUUUUAAAAUUAUUUAAUUUUUUAUCAACAUUUCAAUGCUUUUCCAGAACGGACUAAAGUCUCACUAAACAUUUCAUUUUGGGUCUUAGUUUAAUCUAUAGUGGAGUGUCGAACUAUCGUAUCUUCGAAUGCCGAAUUCAAACUUACGUGUCGAAAUUGCACAAAUCGAGUAUAGCUAUUCAUUGACAAUGAGACGGUAGUCUUCUUUUUGUGCCGAUUUAUCAGCUCCCCUUGAGAAAAUUCUAUAUCGAGGCCUAAAUUUUUGAGUGAUUCUCAAAUUCAAUGAAGCCGCCAUCAAAAUUUAUUCUAAAAUAGAAAAAAUAUUGGGAAACACAUAAAAAUAGAAAGAAAGAAAAAAAUAGUCUUUGAAACCAAAUUUUAAGUUAGGGAGUUGAUUAUGAGAAGAGAAUGUAUUAGCACCAUAUAACACCGUUAAAAAUACGAUUAUCUAAAAUUAAUUGUGCAAAAUUAAUAUUAACUUAAAAAUAUUCAUUUCUUCAUACUAUUAAAUAUAAAUAUCAAUUGUUUUUUUAAUAUGAUUUUGAAAAAAAUGUAUGCUUAAGAAAGAGAGGGAAAAAAAGAAAAAUUUAUUAAUGUGUUUGACAAGAGUGUAAUCUUGCUCCUACAUAUCUCCCGAUGCGAUAAAUAAAUCAAAUAUAUGUAGUUCUUAGAUAGAAAAUGCGGAUGUGUUGAAUGAUUUUAAUGACAAUGUGUUUUGUUCUUGAUAAAAAAAAUUGUUUUUUGCAGAAAGAAAAAAAAUUGUUUGAUUUGAAUAAUUAUUUUGAAAUGUGAGUUUUAAGACUAUCAAGCUGUACAACUCGUGUCUCAAAAACUCAAAGAAUAAAAAGAUGUCACAUCUAAUUUAAUCCAUUCAAGAAUAUUUUAUUAUUUUCGAUUAGAAAUGAGCUUUUAAACUCCGAAAUUGUACAACUUGUGUUAUAUUUGUUCAAAGAUUAAAAAAGAUGUCACAUUUAAAUAAUCAUUUUAAACUAAAUUCCAUAUAUUUAUUAAUUUAUUUGUAAAGAUUAGUUUUAGAAUUAUCAAGUCAUCACAACUUGUGUCCUAACAACUCGAAAGUUAACAAAUAUCACAUCUAAUUAAUCCUUCAAUAUUUGAUUAUACUUUUAUCUUUUUUUUUUUAUGAAUUAUAAAUUAAUGUUAAAUAUUAAAUAAAUUUAAAUGAUUCUACGAAAUAAAAUCAGUAAUAAACACAAAAAACAAAAUAGCAACAAAAGAGAUAUAUAGACUUGUAACUUGAUAUAUUAAAUAAAUAAAAAUAUAUUUUAAUAAUAGAACCAAAAAUACUAUUUACAAGUGUGAGCUUCUUUCAAAACACUUUUUAAUUAAGUGAUGGAAACAAAACUCAUUUUAAUAUUAAAUAGCACAACCUAAAGUCAAAAAGAAAAAUUGGUUAACAUUAUUCACCAAUAAAAUAAAUGAUGUUUAUUGCUAUUUAAUUACGUCCAUAAUUAUUUAUAUUAAAUAGAAUAAAUAAAGCAAGAUAUUUUUUAGUUAAAUGGAAUAAACAUGAUGAUAACAUAUAAUUAUUAGCUAAAGUGUAGAUAGAAAUAGCAGGAAGAAAGCACAUCUAUCACAUCCAACAGGAUGUGAGCAAGCAAUUCACCUAUUUCAAAGCAAAGCAUAGUAGGCAAAAAGCAAAACAUGGAUUUUAAGCUUUACAAACACAAGAAAAAAAAUGAUCUCAACCAAAAAUACUACCCACAUAGACAAAACAAAAUUUCAUCUUUCAAUAAUCAACUAUAGUUUCAAAUUUUAGUUUCCAAUGGAAUUGUGUUUACAUCUUUCAAUAAUAUAAAUUUCGAAAAGCAAAACAUACAUAAAGAUAAUGAAAAAAUACAUGUCUUUCCAGAUGCUGGUGAAGAUAGAGGUGGUGAUGCAUGGUGGUGUGCAACUGAAUAGGAAUGUGUAACGGUUCUCUCUAUUUUUCUUUGUUGAUUUCAAAAACAAAGAAGAAAAAAAAAAUGUUUUUUUAUAUCUUCUAAUUUUUCUCCUCCGAAAAAUAAAACUCCCUCCCUCUUUUUUGAUUGACUAUUUGUCUCAAUUUAUAGGCUAAAAUGAUGAAUAUUUGCGUUCAUCAGAUAAAAUUAAGUUCUGAAUUUUGUAUUGGUUUUGCAGCAAAAUCAAGCAACCUCAUACAAUUAAAGAAAUGAAUGGAAGAAGAUGUGGUUGUUUGUUGAGAGAAUAAGAUGUAGAAGAAGGAGAUGUACUGGAAAGAUGGAAGGGAGAAAGAAAGCAAAAGAGUAUUUUUUUUUAUUUUUUUUAUUUCUUUUAACUUUUGUGUGUAAUGUAAUAGGAACACCUAUGUAAAUAUGGACUCAAAAUAAAGUAAGAUUUGUAAAAUAAUGAUAUUUUAAAUUUUAUAAUAAUAAAAAUUGUAGAAUAUAUUAUUACUUAUUUAAAAAAAAUCAUUUUUAAUCGAUCAUACAAAAUUGAGGUACAACACUCUAUAUAAAAGGUUAUGCUCUCAUAAACAAGAUAUCUAUUUAUUCAUUACCUAUUACUGUUAGAAAAACACAUACAUAGAGAAAUUUCAAUAACACAUCAAAACACAAUAAUAUAACUUAGAAACUCCAAAAAUCCACACACACAAAAAAACCACAAUUGUUGUUUAAUAACAUCAAGAGAAUAACAUUAUGUGAAAAUUGUUAUAACACAUAGACUUCUCUCACACUCCCUAUGACCCCAAUACACCCACAUUAUCCAAAACAAAUAUUUGAACUAUAUCUCAAUACAAUCUAACACAAGAGUAUAAAACAAAAGAAAAGAAUCAUCCACAAGCUUAAAAUGUUUCCGAUUGAUGCGAUUGUAAUGAAGAACUAGAGUCAUAUAUAUAACAUUAACCUCACUCGUAAUUUACAAUUAUAAGCAUUUUGAGACUUUUUCAAUAUUAUUCAAUUUCAACCAAACUCAUCACUUGUUGAGGAGUCUGGGGGCAUAGGAGCAACAACGAACCAAAUUCUUUAGGACCGUAAAAGAUUUUGACACCACAUCUCCACUCAAAAUCUUAAGGCAUUACAUAUAUGGGACACUACUCUUAUAUAUCUAACAUUUAGCUCAUUCAUAGUUAAUGUAGAACUUAAUCACUCACACUUGAACCCAAUAUUUUCCCUCUCAAGUGUGAGUCUCCCACAUCUUAUAUUUGUAUCACUGUUAAUACCAACAGAAUAUGCCUCUUGACUACACCACCAGGAAGACUUUCGAUACAAGGAUCCAAGACUAGGAUCAACUCUCGCUCCCCCGCCAAGCCAAAUCAAACACUAAUACCACUUGUUGGGAAGUUCGAGGGAGUGCAGAAGUAAUAAUGACUCAAAUACUUUAGAACCACAAGAGACAUUGACACCACAUCUCCACUUAAAACAUUAAGGUAUUAUGUAUAUGGGUCAUCACUCUUAUAUAUCCUUCAACCAGUGCCACACACUUAGAUGCACAUCACAAGGAUACUAUGAGGGAAGAAAUAAUUAGAUUCAUUUGCAGUUAUUCUGAAUCUCCCUUUCAUUUAUUGGGUAAUUGUAGUUGGCACAACCUGUCUCUAUCGAAGAAGAGUUGUAAAGCAGGGAUCACAACGUCGUUUUGAAGAAGGUUGUCCUUCUUAUUGUCACCACAUAAGGAGCCACAACUGCACACCUCACCGCCAUCACCAUUGUGCACCAUUUCUGGUCACAACCAACAUGGUAUUGUUCUUAAUCCUUCUUAGGAAUCUCCAUUGAGUCAAAGAAAGACAUUACAAGAAUAACAAUAAUUUUUUACAAACUAAAAACAAAAUUGUGGCUGAAAAAAAUUCUUAUAAAAUUACUAGCCAUAAAAGAUACACAAAUACUAAAAUUCAAAUUGGUUAUUAUUAGUGGUUGAAAAAGCCCUCAUCAAUUGAAAAUAUUAUUUGUGGUUGAUUGUAACUUUUGUGGCGGCAAAAAAUAGUCACAAAAAUGUUGGAGGGAAAAUUUAUUUGAAUUUGUGGCAGCAUUGACCCUCACAUGUUUGAUUGAUUUGCUAUGUCAGUAGGCAUUUGUGGCAGCACAUACUAGCACAUACUGUCUCAAAAUUCUUACCAUUAGGCAUUACUGGCGGCGUUAUUCGCUGCCACAAAAUGUUGUUUCCUUUCUGACGGUUCAAGUGCACUUUUUUCUCAAUAUGUAUAUAUAUAAUUCCACCAUUCUUCCUUUCAUUUCUUACUUCUAACUUAUCUCUAAAUGUUCUCUCUACAAAUAUUUUUUCCCUAGCUUUAAUUUAAAAACGAUUCUAACUUUUUUGCAUUAGAUUGAUUUCUUAUUUCUCUCUUGAGUUUUGGUAAGUGUUUACUUCAUGUUUUGUCUUUUAUUUUUAAUUUUUUAUUUGAAAUUAUUUAUUUAAUUAAUAUUAUUAAAUUUUCAUGUUGACAGUGGUGUUAUUUUAUUGAUUGUGAAGAGGUGUUAUUUGUUCAUAACUUUUAAUUGAUGCACUACUCUGCAUCAAGUUAGUAUUUAAUGCAUUUUAAAUAUAUAAACUAUUAUUUUAGAUAUUUAGUAUUAAAAAAAAAGUUAAAUGGUUAUAAAUAAUUUUUAUAAUGUUAAUAUUUUAAUUUCGAAUAUUGAAUAUAUUAUUUUUUAAAUUGAUUAUAAUAUUAUUUUUAAAAUCUAAUCUUAGUAAGAUUUGUUAAAAAUAGUGUUAGUAUAAUAUUUAUAUUGUAAAAUUUUUACUCAAAUUAAAGUGAAGUUAUUUUUUAAAAUAUUAUCUUUUAAAUUUAGGUUUUUUUUUAUUGUGGUUUAUUAGGUUAGUAAAAUAUUUUUUUAAAAGAAAUUUGUAAUUAUUUUCAUCAAUAAAAUAAUACUUAGAUAAAAGAAAUAAAAUUUAUAAUAUUUAUCUAAUUAUGAAAUAUGUAGUUUUAUACAUAUAAAAUGUAUUUAUAUUAUUUUCAAAAAGACAUAAAAGGUUCAUAUUUUAAAAUGUUAGUAGAUUUGUUAAAAAAAAAUAGAAAAUCUGAUGUUUAUAUAUAUAUGAUAAAUAAAAUUUUAAAAUAUAUGGAAAACAUAUUUAAUUAAUGUAAUUUAAAAAAAAUAAUAAUAUUGAAAUUAUUGAUAUUAAUGUAUGUUGUUAUUUGUUUGAAAAUUAUAACAUUGUAUUUGACUUCGUACAAAAUGUUAUAUACUUUUAUAGUCCGUACUUUGAUUUGUAGCGACUUAUUUUACAAUAAAUUUAAUUAAACUUCAUUUAAUAUUUUUUUAGUUAAUUCUUUAUUAUGAUUUAUUAUAUUGUUUAAAAAUAUUUUCUUAAUUAAUAUAUAAAGUAUGUCACCACUUAUUAUUUAGAAAUUGGUAGUUGUUGUCACUAAUAACAAAAUAAUGUUUUUGAAUAAUAAAACAUUUUAUAUAUAAAACAUCGAUCUAAUUAAUGAUCGUGUUGCUAAAAAGAUUGACGAGUUUCUCAAUUUUGAAUUUUGUAAGGGUGCAAAAAAUUGUCGAAGACGAAGGGGGUAUGAGAUGUCCAAAGUUGUUUAUGUCAACGUAGAUGUUUUAAGAGUGAAGAUGAAAUAAGACUACAUUAAUAUGAAUAUGGAUUCAUGUCUAACUAUUGAAUUUGGCCUAAUCUUAGGGAAGAGUCUCCGACAGCACCUAAUACUAGUAUACGUGUGGAGAUUAAUGUAGGUCUUUCAAGUAGUACUAGCAUGUUAGGUGUAGAUUAUUAUUAUUAUUAUUAUUAUUAUUAUUAUUAUUAUUAUUAUUAUUAUUAUUAUUAACACUUUGGGACGAUGAACGAUAUGAUUUCGAAUGAUGUUGGGGUUAAUUUGUCACUCAAUAAAACUCAAUACGACGAAACUAAUGGACUUCCAAAUGAAGAAGUUCAAAGAUUUUAUGGUCUUUUGAAAGAGAUAAAUAAAUGGUUGUUCGAAGGAUCUCCAAACUCAAUGCUAUCGAUGUGUGUUAUACUUUUAGAUCUAAAGUCUCAAUUUCAUGUUUCUAAUUUAUCUUUAGAUCUGAUAACUAAAAUGAUGUUAAAUGCAACACCUAUUAGAGAUGGUUUGCCGCAAAGUUAUUACAAUGCUAAACAAUAAGUGUCAAAGUUAGGAUUAGGUGUCUAGAUGAUUGAUUGUUGUAUAAAAAGUUGUAUGGUUAUUAAGACAUUGAAUUUGGGAUAAAUGAUACAAAUUUAGUUGAAUGUAAAUUUUGUCAACAAACAAGGUAUCAACAAACUAAUUCUUUAAUUUUUUCGAGUGAAUAGAUACAGACCUUAUAAUAACAAAUCAAAAAUCGAUUUUUUAAUUUAAAAUUCAAGAUUCAUAAGAAUAUAAGAAAUUCAGGUGAGUUGCAAGAUUGCAGAUAAUGUUUGCAUCAAUGCAAACUAUAGAAAUUCAUGUGGGUUGCAACAUUUGUUUGAUUGUCAGGCAUGGAAACACUUUGAUCAUAUGCAUCUUGAUUUUGCAUCAAAUCCACAUAAGGUAAGAGUUAGAUUAUCCUCAUAUGGAUUUACACCGUAUAUAUAAGCAUCAUCUACUCCUUAUUCAUGUUGGUCUAUUAUUAUUACUCCAUAUAUACAAGCAUUAUCUACUCCUUAUUCAUGUUGGCCUAUUAUUGUUAUUCCAUACAAUCUUCCUCUUGAUAUGUGUAUGUCUAAACUUUACAUGUUCUUGGUUGUCGCGAUAAUGGGUCAUUCUAAUCCUACAACUGAUAUUUAUUUACAAUCUUUGAUUGAUGAUUUAAAGAGGUUGUGGAGGAGUGUCUUGACAUACGAUAUUGCUCGAAAGCAAAAUUUUAUGAUGAAAAAUGCUUUAAUGUGGACUAUUAAUGAUUUCAACGCUUUUGUGAUGUUGUCAAGAUGGGGGGUACAAAAGCAUUUACAUUAAUGGUAAUGGGAAGACAUUGUGGAUUGACUCGCAUCAUAGGUUAUUACUUGUUGAUCACACAUUUGGAGGAAUAAAAUUGCGUUUAUCAAUGGCAAUGCAAAAACACUAGGACCACCGCUUAAAUUGACAUCGUAACAAGUUUAGGAUAAAGUAAAAGAUAUGUCAAAUGUAUAAGCAGUUGAUGGUGUGACUUCUAAACCACAAGGUUACAGAAAAUGACACAAUUGGACAAAAAUAUGUAUUAUUUGAGAUUUCUAUAUUGGAAAGAUAAUCUUGAGGCACAAUCUCAAUGUUAUGCAUAUCGAAAAAAAUAUCUUUGACAACAUAUUUAGCUUUGUGAUGAAUGUGAAAGGCAAAACAAAAAGAUUAAGACAAAGCUAGGAGAGACAUAGGUCUAUAUUGUAGACAACCAUAUCUGAUGAUUCUAUGUAAGUUGGAGAAAGUAUAUUUCUUCUUGGAUUUUUUGAUUUCAUGGAGAACCUCUCGUGCAUUUUGCAAGUGAAGUUAGGCUUAAUAGACUGAUUCAGUAUAAAUAGAUAAAUAUUUUUAAUUUUUAAUUAAAAAACUCCAAACGCACAAAGGAAGGCGUAAGUGAGGUAUAGAAUAUAUUAGAUACGCAAUUUUUUUUGCCCACAUAUGUCCGUCCCAGGUGAUGGAGUGGGUGGUUGUUUAGAAUAAUUGUUUUUUGUUACUCUUUUUAUAAAAUAAUAACUAGAUUAUGGCCCGCGCGCUGCGCGGAUAUUACUUAAUUAAUUUUAUAAGUUUUAUAAGUAAUAUUUUAUGUAUUAUAAAUAUAGUUAUCUUAUAAUAUUACUUUAUUGAUUUGUAAUAAUUGAAUAUGAUUAAGAAAAUUAAAAUGAAGGAAAAUCAUGUUUAUCACAAAUCAUUUAAUUUAAUUUUUAAAAUAUAUUGUAAAAUUCGUAUGAUAACUUAUUAUAUAGGAUAAUUGUUUGACUCAUUGUACUUUGAUUAUUAAUUUAUUUUUCAACAUAUAAUAGUACUUGUAGUUAUUUGAUGAAAUAAAAUGUAAAAUACAAACCCAAAAAUAAGAUGUAAAAAAUGUUAAUGUUGAAUUAUAUUGUAGCGUAGCUAAAUUUAUUUGUUUUAUUAGUAUGAUGAUUUAAUUGCGAGCAUAAGAAGUUGUUAUAAAAAAAAAAUUAUUGAAUAUAUUUCACUAAGAGUUUGUAAAAAAAAAAAAAGUUGGUGUGGCAUCGGAAGUCUAUUUUAAAUAUAUAUAAUAAAUAAUAGAUUUUAAUAAUUGGAAAUUAUUUUUUUAAUAAUUUUUUAUAGAUUCGUAUUUUAUGAUUAUUUUUAAUGAAUUUGGGUAUUUUCUUUCAAAUAGAAUACAUAUUUUUUUUUCUUUACAUAAUGUUACUAAUAUAAUUGUUCAUGAAAGGAGGAUUAGAUAAUGAGUAUUUAUGUCCAUUAUAAGUGAUUAGGUGUUUUUUUCAAUUGAAUUUAAUGACUAAAAAUAUAAAUUAUUACCAUUGGUAAAUGACUAAUAAUAUUAUAAAAUAAUUUAUAAAUUUAUUAUAAAAUAACUUAUAAAAUAAUUUGAUAAUAAUAUAAAUUAUAAAUUAUUAUCAAAUUGUAAAGUAAUUUUUAAAUUAUAAAUUUAUUAUAAAUAAUUGUAAAAUAAUUUUAUAAUUUUAUAAGUAAUAUUUUAUGUACUAUAAAUAUAGUUAUCUUAUAAUAUUACUUUAUUGAUUNNNNNNNNNNNNNNNNNNNNNNNNNNNNNNNNNNNNNNNNNNNNNNNNNNNNNNNNNNNNNNNNNNNNNNNNNNNNNNNNNNNNNNNNNNNNNNNNNNNNNNNNNNNNNNNNNNNNNNNNNNNNNNNNNNNNNNNNNNNNNNNNNNNNNNNNNNNNNNNNNNNNNNNNNNNNNNNNNNNNNNNNNNNNNNNNNNNNNNNNNNNNNNNNNNNNNNNNNNNNNNNNNNNNNNNNNNNNNNNNNNNNNNNNNNNNNNNNNNNNNNNNNNNNNNNNNNNNNNNNNNNNNNNNNNNNNNNNNNNNNNNNNNNNNNNNNNNNNNNNNNNNNNNNNNNNNNNNNNNNNNNNNNNNNNNNNNNNNNNNNNNNNNNNNNNNNNNNNNNNNNNNNNNNNNNNNNNNNNNNNNNNNNNNNNNNNNNNNNNNNNNNNNNNNNNNNNNNNNNNNNNNNNNNNNNNNNNNNNNNNNNNNNNNNNNNNNNNNNNNNNNNNNNNNNNNNNNNNNNNNNNNNNNNNNNNNNNNNNNNNNNNNNNNNNNNNNNNNNNNNNNNNNNNNNNNNNNNNNNNNNNNNNNNNNNNNNNNNNNNNNNNNNNNNNNNNNNNNNNNNNNNNNNNNNNNNNNNNNNNNNNNNNNNNNNNNNNNNNNNNNNNNNNNNNNNNNNNNNNNNNNNNNNNNNNNNNNNNNNNNNNNNNNNNNNNNNNNNNNNNNNNNNNNNNNNNNNNNNNNNNNNNNNNNNNNNNNNNNNNNNNNNNNNNNNNNNNNNNNNNNNNNNNNNNNNNNNNNNNNNNNNNNNNNNNNNNNNNNNNNNNNNNNNNNNNNNNNNNNNNNNNNNNNNNNNNNNNNNNNNNNNNNNNNNNNNNNNNNNNNNNNNNNNNNNNNNNNNNNNNNNNNNNNNNNNNNNNNNNNNNNNNNNNNNNNNNNNNNNNNNNNNNNNNNNNNNNNNNNNNNNNNNNNNNNNNNNNNNNNNNNNNNNNNNNNNNNNNNNNNNNNNNNNNNNNNNNNNNNNNNNNNNNNUUAUAAUAUUACUUUAUUGAUUUAUAAUAAUUGAAUAUGAUUAAGAAAAUUAAAAUGAGGGAAAAUCAUGUUUAUCACAAUCAUCUAAUUUAAUUUUUUAAAAUAUUUUGUAAAAUUGGUAUGAUAACUUAUUAUAUAUGAUAAUUGUUUAACUCAUUGUACCUUAAUUGUCAAUUUAUUUUUCAACAUAUAAUGGUAUUUGUAUUUAUUUGAUGAAAUAAAAUGUAAAAUACAAACUAAAAAAUAAGAUUGUAGUGUAGUCUAAAUUUAUUUGUGUCUUUUAUGUCAAAUAGAAUAUAUAUUUUUAUUUUAUAAGUGGAAUAAUAUAAUUGUAAGGAGGAUUAGAUAAAUAUCAUUUAUGUCGAUAUUUAUGAGUGAUUAUGUGGUUUUUUUCCAUUGAAUUUAAUGAUUAAUAAUAUAAAAUAUUACAACUCGUAAAUGACUAAUAAUACUAUAAAAUAAUUUAUAAAUUUAUUAUAAAAUAACUUAUAAAAUAAUUUGAUAAUAAUAUAAAUUAUAAAUUAUAAAUUNNNNNNNNNNNNNNNNNNNNNNNNNNNNNNNNNNNNNNNNNNNNNNNNNNNNNNNNNNNNNNNNNNNNNNNNNNNNNNNNNNNNNNNNNNNNNNNNNNNNNNNNNNNNNNNNNNNNNNNNNNNNNNNNNNNNNNNNNNNNNNNNNNNNNNNNNNNNNNNNNNNNNNNNNNNNNNNNNNNNNNNNNNNNNNNNNNNNNNNNNNNNNNNNNNNNNNNNNNNNNNNNNNNNNNNNNNNNNNNNNNNNNNNNNNNNNNNNNNNNNNNNNNNNNNNNNNNNNNNNNNNNNNNNNNNNNNNNNNNNNNNNUUAUUAUAAAUAAUUGUAAAAUAAUUUUAUAAGUUUUAUAAGUAAUUACAAUUGGUAAAUGACUAAUAAUACUAUAAAAUAAUUUAUAAAUUUAUUAUAAAAUAACUUAUAAAAUAAUUUGAUAAUAAUAUAAAUUAUAAAUUAUUAUCAAAUUGUAAAAUAAUUUAUAAAUUUAUUAUAAAUAAUUGUAAAAUAAUUUUAUAAUUUAUAAAUUUAUAUAAAAUAAUAUUAUCAAAUAGAUUUUGAAGGUAUUAAAGAAAUUGUGGAAGGAAGAAGAGAAGUUGUUGAAAGAGGAGGGGUACUCUCAUGAGAUACACAUCAGUUUUUUGGCUGAUGUGGAUGAAAUAUCUUGAAGUGGCAAAAUAUAAUAGAUGUGGCAAAAUAUAAUGUUGUGGCAUCGGGAGUCCGUUUUAAAUAUAUAUAAUAGAUAAUUGGCUAAAUUACAUCUGUGGUCCUUUAACUUAAUUUCAGGUAACGUUUUAGUCCUUUAUCUUUUUUUUCCCGAUUUAGUCCUUUAUUCCUAAAAAUAUCAAAUAAAGUAUGAAAAUAUGAGUUUAUUUGAAGAUUUGCGUUACGAAUUUGAUGAAAUUUGUAUUAUAUUGAAGAAUAUAAUUAAUUUUAUGAGUUUUGAUUGAAUUUUUUUUUAAUUUUUGUAUAAAAAAGGAUAUCAUUGUUGAAAUUUUAAAACAUAAAAUAUCAAAUUGUCACUUAAAAUUAAAAUAAAGGACCAAGUCGGGAAAAAAAAAGAUAAAGGACUAAAACGUUACCUGAAAUUAAGUUAAGGGACCACAAAUGAAAUUUAGCCUAGAUAAUUUUAUAAUUUUAUAAGUAAUUACAAUUGGUAAAUGACUAAUAAUACUAUAAAAUAAUUUAUAAAUUUAUUUUAAAAUAACUUAUAAAAUAAUUUGAUAAUAAUAUAAAUUAUAAAUUAUUAUCAAAUUGUAAAAUAAUUUAUAAAUUUAUUAUAAAUAAUUGUAAAAUAAUUUUAUAAUUUAUAAAUUUAUAUAAAAUAAAAUUAUCAAAUAGAUUUUGGAGGUAUUAAAAAAAUUGUGGAAGGAAGAGGAGAAGUUGUUGAAAGAUGAGGGGUACUCUCAUGAGGUACACAUCAGCUUUUUGGCUGAUGUGGAUGAAAUAUCUUGAAGUGGCAAAAUAUAAUAGAUGUGGCAAAAUAUAAUGAUGUGACAUCGGGAGUCCGUUUUAAAUAUAUAUAAUAGAUUGUUUAUAUUUUGUAUUGAGCAUUAUGCGACACCUCCUCCAAGGACAAUCGUCAUAGAAAGAAAUCAAUUUUCGUAUGAACAUGAUUUUUUAUCUAAAUUACCUGCCAACGAAUGCAACUAAAUUGGAAGAAAUUAACAAUGGUGUUGUCAUACCGGAGUUAAUUAAUUGAAUUUGAAGUAAUACAAUCCAAUAGGCAAUCAACAUGGUGAUGAUGAUAUUAAGAUGACAUGUCUAGGAUACCAUGAUAAAAAAUGAUCAUAUGACAUACUAUAGCAGAACAAAACCAAUCCAAAAAUGAACUAAUAGACGAUGUAGAACAGAUGAGAGAGACAAUGAAAAACAGUAGACGAAAACAGUGAAGAACAACAGAGGAAGAUAGUGAAGAACGGAGGAGAGACGGUGCGGCAGUGAGAUAACGGGCAGAGAAAAGAAAUUUGGUUAUUUUUUGUAUAUAAUUUAACAAUAAAUAUUAAUUAUUCUAAAAUAGAACAAAAAUGUAAAACUUCAAAAUUUAGUUGUGUUAAAUUUAAAACUAGAUUGUGAUCCGUGCGUUGCACGAGUUAUAUAUUUUUAUAUGUGUAUAUGUAAUUUUUGCAUUAUUAAUAUAUAAUUAUUUUUCACUACAAAAAUAGAUAAAAUAAAAAUAUAAAGGUCUAGUAUAACUAACAAUAUAAUUAAUUGUCAACUUCAAAAUUUAGGAGAAUAUUAAAAUUUUAAAUAUCUCAACGUGAAAUAAAAAUGAUUUUUUUUUCAUAAAUUAUAUAUUUAUUUGUCUACACGUUAAAUUUUGGUGUGUUUGCAACAUUGUUGUUUUAGUUAAAAACUUAACCAUAAUUGUUUUUUUUUUUUUGAAUAACUUUUGAACAUUUGUAAUUAAUAAUGUUAUAUAUGCCAAAUUAUUAUAUAUGUAACUAAUAAUGUUAAAUAUGCCAACGCGAAAUGAAAAUUAUUUUAUUUUACAAACAUUAUUUAUUUAUUUGUUUACACGUUAAAUUUUGGUUUGUUUGUACCAUUGUUACUUCUCAACUGUUUUUAGUUGAAAAAUUCACCAUAACUGUUUUCGUUGGAGAACUUUGAGCAUUUGUAACUAAUAGCGUUAUAGUGUUUGUGUAACACCCCGUUUUUCAAAGCGAGGGUAUAUUUUUUUUUUAAAGAAAUUAAAAUAAAGCAAAGUAAAACAAAUAAGGAAAUGCUGUUGGAUGAAUAAUCGAGUCAUUAUAAUUUACGCAGCGGAAAAGUUUCUCCAAUUACAAAUCCAAAAUAUUUCUACAUAAACCUCAAAUGGUACAUGGAACCCAUUCAAAGAUGAUAUCAAACUGAUAAUAUUUGUAUAAGUACAGUUUUCCAAAACUAAAAUACUCCAAACCAAAAAGAAGGACCCCUAGUCCCUAUACAUCUUCCUAAUCUGAUCAUCCUACCAAAAACUAUACACCCUGAGUAAUCUCCACGCACCCCGUGAGAUCCUCCUAACACAACUGCAGUCAAGCAUUCCCAUCUCCAUCCCUGUCCGUAGGGUACGAACCAGUAGGGCCGUCCUGACUCUCAUCUGAGGGCAAAGCCCAGAUUUCCACAAUAGUGUAAAGGGUCACCAACCAGAAAAUAACAGAUAACACAUAGCAAUUAAGUUUUUGAAUGCUCAAAACAACUUUUUAACUAAGCAUGCACCUUAACAGGAUUUUCAAUGUGCGAAAAGUUCAUACAUUACAUUGCCAAUGAAAAUGAAGGUAAAAUGCAGUUCUCGAUCUCCUAAUUAACACAUGAUAAAACAAGGCAUGGAUAGAUUCAUGAGCAAUUAAUCAUACAACUAAAAAUGAGGAUUUUCACUGAGCCAAUCGAUUGGGCAAUCGAUUGGGGUGAAGAUUUUUAAUGGAAACAGAAACCUGGGCUGAAUUCAAUCGAUUGGUAAAUCGAUUGAUUGGUUCCUGAGCCCCUGGUUUCGAGCCAAUCGAUUUCCUAAUCGAUUUGGUGAGGGAUUCUUAAUGAAAACAGAAUCCUGGGCUGAAUUCAAUCGAUUGGUAAAUCGAUUGAUUGGUUCCUGAGCCCCUGACUUAAGGCCUAAUCGAUUGGGCAAUCGAUUUCUUAACUGAUUCCUUUGAAAAUUGAUUUCGAAAUCGAUUGGCUAAUCGAUUUGUGAAUUGGCCAAGUCCCUGUUUACCCAUCCAAUCGAUUGGGAAAUCGAUUUCCCUGAUCAGUUUUCCAAAAAUUCAUGAAUUAACCUAAGUCAUUCCUAAUCAAGUUCACCACUUAACACUUAGCAAUUUCUACGCGAUUACUACGACACACAAAGGUUCGAUAACCAUCAUACUCACACACAAUACACAACACAUAGCACUUAACACCUUCAUCUCAGUUAUCACGAUAAAUCAAAAUUCGAAUCACUCAAUCAUAAACUCAAAUCAAACAUGACUCGCGUGCCAGGCACCCUAAUGCAAUGCGUAUAUGCCAAAAUGCAUGGACUCGGAAUUCCAAACCAAAACCCUCCUCGAAGGGCCGUAAAUCAUAAUUGUACCGCCUAUCGCAGGCCAAAGUACCAAUUACCGAGGUGCCACCUAUCACGGGUCAGCACGAUUUACUAAAAUGCGUAAAUCAUAAACGUACCACCUAUCACGGGUCAGUACAGUUUACCGAGGUGUCACCUAUCACGGGUCAACACGAUUUACUAAAAGAAAAAGCGGAAAUCGUAAAUGUACCACCUAUCACGGGUCAGUACAGUUACCAUGGUGUCACCUAUCACGGGUCAACACGAUUUACUAAAAGAAAAAGCGGGAAUCGUAAAUGUACCACCUAUCACGGGUCAGUACAGUUACCAUGGUGUCACCUAUCACGGGUCAACACGAUUUACUAAAAGAAAAAGCGGGAAUCGUAAACGUACCGCCUAUCACAGACCAGUACUGUUUACCUAGGUGCCACCUAUCACGGGUCAGCACAAUCCACCAAAAAUGUAAAUCGUAAAUGUACCACCUAUCACGGGUCAGUACAGUUACCAUGGUGUCACCUAUCACGGGUCAACACGAUUUACUAAAAGAAAAAGCGGGAAUCGUAAACGUACCGCCUAUCACAGACCAGUACUGUUUACCUAGGUGCCACCUAUCACGGGUCAGCACAAUUCACCAAAAACGUAAAUCGUAAAUGUACCACCUAUCACGGGUCAGUACAGUUUACCAAGGUGUCACCUAUCACGGGUCGACACAAUUUACCAAAUGAAAUGCAUGAGCAUACACAGACUCCAUUCACAACAAUCGUUAAGCAAAUGCAGAUAUUAAAAGAUUCCCCAUUUUUAAUACCCAUUUAACUUAAACGACUUUCAAACAACAUUAAUUAAAUAAGUCAUUAAGAGAUUCCCCGUUCUUAAUACCGAUUUAACUUAAUGAUUUUCAAAACAAAACGUUAAGCAAACAGUCAUAUUAAGAGAUUCCCCAUUCUUAAUACUCAUUUACCGAAACGAUUUUCAAAAACGAUAGUUAAGUAACCGAGACAUUAAGAGAUUCCCCAUUCUCAACGCCCAGUUAACUUAAACAUUUUCCUCAAAUACACAUUAAGUAAACCGAGGUAUUAAAAGAUUCCCCAUUUUUAAUACUCGUUUAACUCUAAUGGUUUUCAAAUUCCACAGAAACAAAUUCAAACAUACUUUCACAUUCAAACCAUAAUUCACAACAACCACACCAAUUAACAAACAUCAAGUUUCAUUUACCCAUAAUCAUACACAAUGACAUUCAAAUUCAUUUACCACGAAACAUUCAUCACUAUAAACAAAACCUAACUCUAAGGUUUUUACCCAUAACGCACUAGUUUCGUUUUUCCCCAAAUCGAUACAUUUAACCCUAACAAAUUCCUUCCCACACAACUACAGAUAAGUCCCUAAUGCAAGCUAGAAGUUUGGAAGGAGCCCUUACCUCAAAGUCAGCUUUAUCGAGUGUUUCCGGUUCCGCGAGAAAUUCCGGUAAAAUCUCCGCUCGCAACGCCGCUUCCAAAUUAGUGCACUAGCACCGUAGCACGGAGGUGAGCAACUUUCCCUUCUAUCUCUUCGAGAAAAGAGGUUUGGAUCUAGGAGAAACGGAGGGGUUUGUGUUUGGAUCUCAAAAACCGUAUUUCUUCGUUUUCGAAUCAAAGAGGAAGAGUGGAGUUACGAAAACCUUGAUCUAACCCUCACCCAACCUUGGGUCACUAGUUUUGAAGGAAAGGAAGCAACGAAAACGAAAAAUGGAGGAGGAUGGAAAUUUGGUUUUUUCUUGCGUGACUGAGGAAGGAGAUGGAAAAUUCUAUUUUCUCUCCUUUCAAUUUCUUUCCUUUGUUUUUCCUUUCUUCCUUUUUCCUUCCUUCCUUUAUAUACUAUUUUCUUUUCCUUUUCCUUCCUUCUAGUUUUCCUUUCUUUUUCCCUCCAAGCAAACAUAUAUAUAUAAAAUAAAUAUAACUUAACAAAUAUCUCAAAAUCUAGAUAUUUAUUAAAUUACCGUUUCACCCGAAACGCCUUAAAUUCACCGUAAAGUAUUUUCCGCAGUUAAAUUCAAUUUAUUUAUCGACGAGAAAUUCUAAUUGGCAUCGAAAUAUCUUUUUGAUUAUAAAACUCCAAAAUAUUAUUAACUUUGGCUUAAAAGCCUCCGAGCCAAAAUCCAAAAUAUACCAAAAAUACAUAAAAGGGUACUUUAAAAUUAUGGGUCUUACAUUACUCCCCCCCUAAAAUUAGUUUCGUCCUCGAAACUAUGCAUCGAUAAAUAACUCUGGGUGUUGUUCCCUCAUCUUGCUCUCCAGUUCCCAAGUCGCAUCUCCAGUAAUUGGGUUCCAGAUCACCUUGACCAACGAAACAUCCUUGGUCCUCAACCGCUUAAUCUUCCUGUCAUCAAUUCUCACGGGUGGUACUUCGAACGACAGGUUAUCCUUUAGCUGGAUCGUGUCUGGUUCGAUCACGUGAGAUGGAUCUGCGAGAUAUUUCCUCAACUGCGACACAUGAAACACGUCAUGGAUAUUGGACAGUAUCGGAGGUAAUGCAAUCCGAUAAGCAACCGGCCCAAUUCGUGCAGAAAUCUGAUAUGGUCCAAUGAAUUUCGGAGUCAACUUCUUCGAUUUCAAGGCUCUACCUACUCCAGUAGUAGGUGUGACUCUCAGAAAUACAUGGUCACCCUGUUCGAAUUCCAAAAGUCUGCGACGCUUGUCCGCGUAACUCUUCUGGCGAUCUUGUGAAGUCUUCAUUUUCUCCUUGAUCUUCCUUACUUUAGCUGUGGUCUGUUGCACCAUCUCUGGUCCGACAAUCAUAUUCUCACCGUCUUUAUACCAACACAAGGGCGUUUGACACUUGCGCCCAUAUAAAGCCUCAUAUGGUGCCAUUCCAAUGCUCGCGUGGAAACUAUUGUUGUAAGUGAACUCAAUCAACGGAAGUACAUCAUCCCAACUUCCUCUAUCAUCUAAAACACAUGCUCUCAACAGAUCUUCCAAGGACUGAUUUGUCCUUUCAGUCUGUCCGUCCGUUUGUGGAUGGUAAGCUGAACUCAAUCGUAGCUUCGUUCCCAACGCUUCGUGCAAUGCUCCCCAAAAAUGCGAUGUGAACUUCGGAUCACGGUCUGAUACAAUGCUCGAUGGUACCCCGUGUAACCUCACAAUUUCAGCAAUGUAGAUCUCCGUUAGCUGAUCUACCUUAUAGGUGGUCCUUACCGGUAAAAAGUGAGCAGAUUUAGUCAGCCGGUCCACUAUCACCCAUAUAGAAUCAUUCUUCCUCCUUGUCUUCGGUAAUCCGGUUAUAAAAUCCAUGGAAAUGCUGUCCCACUUCCAUUCAGGUAUAUCUAAAGGUUGCAACAUUCCAGCAGGUCGCUGAUGUUCCACCUUCGCUUUCUGACAAGUUAGACAAGUGGAUACAUAUUCCGCCACAUGUUUCUUCAUUCCUGGCCACCAAUAAUUCUGCCUCAAAUCCUGAUACAUCUUUGUUGCCCCAGGAUGAAUACUCAGCUUACUCUUAUGCGCCUCUUCUAGAAUCGUUUUCCGCAUAUCUGUAAUGGCUGGUACACAAAUCCUACCAUUACACCGCAAAACAUUAUCUGCCCCGAUCUUGAACUCAGUCGUCUUCCCUUGUACUAUUAGAUUCCUCUUCUCUUGAAUUAAGACGUCAUCCUGAGAAUUCGCAAUGUCUUCAAGUAAUCCACUCGAGAUCUUAAUCAUUCCGAAUUUCAAAAUUCCCGGUCCGAACUCUACGUUCAAGUGUAGGUCUCUAAAAGCUUUUCAAGACAAAACAUUCAGUAAAUAAGUCAUUAAGAGAUUCCCCAUUCUUAAUUCUCAUUUAACUUAACGAUUUUCAAGACAAAACAUUCAGUAAAUAAGUCAUUAAGAGAUUCCCCAUUCUUAAUUCUCAUUUAACUUAACGAUUUUCAAGACAAAACAUUCAGUAAAUAAGUCAUUAAGAGAUUCCCCAUUCUUAAUUCUCAUUUAACUUAACGAUUUUCAAGACAAAACAUUCAGUAAAUAAGUCAUUAAGAGAUUCCCCAUUCUUAAUUCUCAUUUAACUUAACGAUUUUCAAGACAAAACAUUCAGUAAAUAAGUCAUUAAGAGAUUCCCCAUUCUUAAUUCUCAUUUAACUUAACGAUUUUCAAGACAAAACAUUCAGUAAAUAAGUCAUUAAGAGAUUCCCCAUUCUUAAUUCUCAUUUAACUUAACGAUUUUCAAGACAAAACAUUCAGUAAAUAAGUCAUUAAGAGAUUCCCCAUUCUUAAUUCUCAUUUAACUUAACGAUUUUCAAGACAAAACAUUCAGUAAAUAAGUCAUUAAGAGAUUCCCCAUUCUUAAUUCUCAUUUAACUUAACGAUUUUCAAGACAAAACAUUCAGUAAAUAAGUCAUUAAGAGAUUCCCCAUUCUUAAUUCUCAUUUAACUUAACGAUUUUCAAGACAAAACAUUCAGUAAAUAAGUCAUUAAGAGAUUCCCCAUUCUUAAUUCUCAUUUAACUUAACGAUUUUCAAGACAAAACAUUCAGUAAAUAAGUCAUUAAGAGAUUCCCCAUUCUUAAUUCUCAUUUAACUUAACGAUUUUCAAGACAAAACAUUCAGUAAAUAAGUCAUUAAGAGAUUCCCCAUUCUUAAUUCUCAUUUAACUUAACGAUUUUCAAGACAAAACAUUCAGUAAAUAAGUCAUUAAGAGAUUCCCCAUUCUUAAUUCUCAUUUAACUUAACGAUUUUCAAGACAAAACAUUCAGUAAAUAAGUCAUUAAGAGAUUCCCCAUUCUUAAUUCUCAUUUAACUUAACGAUUUUCAAGACAAAACAUUCAGUAAAUAAGUCAUUAAGAGAUUCCCCAUUCUUAAUUCUCAUUUAACUUAACGAUUUUCAAGACAAAACAUUCAGUAAAUAAGUCAUUAAGAGAUUCCCCAUUCUUAAUUCUCAUUUAACUUAACGAUUUUCAAGACAAAACAUUCAGUAAAUAAGUCAUUAAGAGAUUCCCCAUUCUUAAUUCUCAUUUAACUUAACGAUUUUCAAGACAAAACAUUCAGUAAAUAAGUCAUUAAGAGAUUCCCCAUUCUUAAUUCUCAUUUAACUUAACGAUUUUCAAGACAAAACAUUCAGUAAAUAAGUCAUUAAGAGAUUCCCCAUUCUUAAUUCUCAUUUAACUUAACGAUUUUCAAGACAAAACAUUCAGUAAAUAAGUCAUUAAGAGAUUCCCCAUUCUUAAUUCUCAUUUAACUUAACGAUUUUCAAGACAAAACAUUCAGUAAAUAAGUCAUUAAGAGAUUCCCCAUUCUUAAUUCUCAUUUAACUUAACGAUUUUCAAGACAAAACAUUCAGUAAAUAAGUCAUUAAGAGAUUCCCCAUUCUUAAUUCUCAUUUAACUUAACGAUUUUCAAGACAAAACAUUCAGUAAAUAAGUCAUUAAGAGAUUCCCCAUUCUUAAUUCUCAUUUAACUUAACGAUUUUCAAGACAAAACAUUCAGUAAAUAAGUCAUUAAGAGAUUCCCCAUUCUUAAUUCUCAUUUAACUUAACGAUUUUCAAGACAAAACAUUCAGUAAAUAAGUCAUUAAGAGAUUCCCCAUUCUUAAUUCUCAUUUAACUUAACGAUUUUCAAGACAAAACAUUCAGUAAAUAAGUCAUUAAGAGAUUCCCCAUUCUUAAUUCUCAUUUAACUUAACGAUUUUCAAGACAAAACAUUCAGUAAAUAAGUCAUUAAGAGAUUCCCCAUUCUUAAUUCUCAUUUAACUUAACGAUUUUCAAGACAAAACAUUCAGUAAAUAAGUCAUUAAGAGAUUCCCCAUUCUUAAUUCUCAUUUAACUUAACGAUUUUCAAGACAAAACAUUCAGUAAAUAAGUCAUUAAGAGAUUCCCCAUUCUUAAUUCUCAUUUAACUUAACGAUUUUCAAGACAAAACAUUCAGUAAAUAAGUCAUUAAGAGAUUCCCCAUUCUUAAUUCUCAUUUAACUUAACGAUUUUCAAGACAAAACAUUCAGUAAAUAAGUCAUUAAGAGAUUCCCCAUUCUUAAUUCUCAUUUAACUUAACGAUUUUCAAGACAAAACAUUCAGUAAAUAAGUCAUUAAGAGAUUCCCCAUUCUUAAUUCUCAUUUAACUUAACGAUUUUCAAGACAAAACAUUCAGUAAAUAAGUCAUUAAGAGAUUCCCCAUUCUUAAUUCUCAUUUAACUUAACGAUUUUCAAGACAAAACAUUCAGUAAAUAAGUCAUUAAGAGAUUCCCCAUUCUUAAUUCUCAUUUAACUUAACGAUUUUCAAGACAAAACAUUCAGUAAAUAAGUCAUUAAGAGAUUCCCCAUUCUUAAUUCUCAUUUAACUUAACGAUUUUCAAGACAAAACAUUCAGUAAAUAAGUCAUUAAGAGAUUCCCCAUUCUUAAUUCUCAUUUAACUUAACGAUUUUCAAGACAAAACAUUCAGUAAAUAAGUCAUUAAGAGAUUCCCCAUUCUUAAUUCUCAUUUAACUUAACGAUUUUCAAGACAAAACAUUCAGUAAAUAAGUCAUUAAGAGAUUCCCCAUUCUUAAUUCUCAUUUAACUUAACGAUUUUCAAGACAAAACAUUCAGUAAAUAAGUCAUUAAGAGAUUCCCCAUUCUUAAUUCUCAUUUAACUUAACGAUUUUCAAGACAAAACAUUCAGUAAAUAAGUCAUUAAGAGAUUCCCCAUUCUUAAUUCUCAUUUAACUUAACGAUUUUCAAGACAAAACAUUCAGUAAAUAAGUCAUUAAGAGAUUCCCCAUUCUUAAUUCUCAUUUAACUUAACGAUUUUCAAGACAAAACAUUCAGUAAAUAAGUCAUUAAGAGAUUCCCCAUUCUUAAUUCUCAUUUAACUUAACGAUUUUCAAGACAAAACAUUCAGUAAAUAAGUCAUUAAGAGAUUCCCCAUUCUUAAUUCUCAUUUAACUUAACGAUUUUCAAGACAAAACAUUCAGUAAAUAAGUCAUUAAGAGAUUCCCCAUUCUUAAUUCUCAUUUAACUUAACGAUUUUCAAGACAAAACAUUCAGUAAAUAAGUCAUUAAGAGAUUCCCCAUUCUUAAUUCUCAUUUAACUUAACGAUUUUCAAGACAAAACAUUCAGUAAAUAAGUCAUUAAGAGAUUCCCCAUUCUUAAUUCUCAUUUAACUUAACGAUUUUCAAGACAAAACAUUCAGUAAAUAAGUCAUUAAGAGAUUCCCCAUUCUUAAUUCUCAUUUAACUUAACGAUUUUCAAGACAAAACAUUCAGUAAAUAAGUCAUUAAGAGAUUCCCCAUUCUUAAUUCUCAUUUAACUUAACGAUUUUCAAGACAAAACAUUCAGUAAAUAAGUCAUUAAGAGAUUCCCCAUUCUUAAUUCUCAUUUAACUUAACGAUUUUCAAGACAAACAUUCAGUAAAUAAGUCAUUAAGAGAUUCCCCAUUCUUAAUUCUCAUUUAACUUAACGAUUUUCAAGACAAAACAUUCAGUAAAUAAGUCAUUAAGAGAUUCCCCAUUCUUAAUUCUCAUUUAACUUAACGAUUUUCAAGACAAAACAUUCAGUAAAUAAGUCAUUAAGAGAUUCCCCAUUCUUAAUUCUCAUUUAACUUAACGAUUUUCAAGACAAAACAUUCAGUAAAUAAGUCAUUAAGAGAUUCCCCAUUCUUAAUACUCAUUUACUGAAACGAUUUUCAAAAACGAACAUUAAGUAACCGAGACAUUAAGAGAUUCCCCAUUCUUAACGCCCAGUUUACUUAAACGGUUUUCAAAACAAAAUAUUAAGUAACCGAGACAUUAAGAGAUUCCCCAUUCUUAACGCCCAGUUAACUUAAACAAUUUUCCAAACAAAAUAAUAAGUAACCGAGACAUUAAGAGAUUCCCCAUUCUUAACGCCCAGUUAGCUUAAACGGUUUUCAAAACAAAAUGUUAAGUAACCGAGACAUUAAGAGAUUCCCCAUUCUUAACGCCCAGUUAACUUAAACGAUUUUUCUUUAAAACAAAAUAUUAAGUAACCGAGACAUUAAGAGAUUCCCCAUUCUUAACGCCCAGUUAACUUAAACGAUUUUUCUUUAAAACAAAAUAUUAAGUAACCGAGACAUUAAGAGGUUCCCCCUCCUUAACGUCCAGUUAACUUAAACGGUUUUCAAAACAAAAUAUUAAGUAACCGAGACAUUAAGAGAUUCCCCCUCCUUAACGUCCAGUUAACUUAAACGGUUUUCAAAACAAAAUAUUAAGUAACCGAGACAUUAAGAGGUUCCCCCUCCUUAACGUCCAGUUAACUUAAACGGUUUUCAAAACAAAAUAUUAAGUAACCGAGACAUUAAGAGAUUCCCCAUUCUUAACGCCCAGUUUACUUAAACGGUUUUCAAAACAAAAUAUUAAGUAACCGAGACAUUAAGAGAUUCCCCAUUCUUAACGCCCAGUUAACUUAAACGAUUUUUCACAAACAAACGCACAUUAAGUAAACGAGACAUUAAGAGAUUCCCCAUUCUUAAUACUCAUUUAACUUAAUGGUUUUCAAAUUUCACACAACACAAACUCAACAAAUUCUCACAUCAAAACAUAUCAAUUCAUUUAUUCACAAAUCCAACCAUACACACAUCAAAUCUCAUCAAUAUCAAUUAAGAGCAUGUCAAAAACAACGAACACAAAUCAAAGCAACAUAACACCCAGAUACAACCAAUUUCAUUUGUUCAUAAUCAUAUACAAUGACUUCAAAUUCAUUUACCACGAAACAUUCAUCACUAUAAACAAAACCUAACUCUAAGGUUUUACCCAUAACGCACUAGUUUCGUUUUUCCCCAAAUCGAUACAUUUAACCCUAACAAAUUCCUUCCCACACAACCACAGAUAAGUCCCUAAUGCAAACUAAAAGUUUGGAAGGAGCCCUUACCUCAACGUUAGCUUUAUCGUGCGUUUCCGGUACCGCGAGAAAUUCCGGUAAAAUCUCCGCUCGCAACGCCGCUUCCAAAUUAGUUCACUAGCACCGUAGCGUGGUGGUGAGCAACUUUCCCUUCUAUCUCUUCGAGAAAUGAGGUUUGGAUCUAGAAGAAACGGAGGGGUUUGUGUUUGGAUCUCAAAACCGUUUUUCUUCGUUUUCGAAUCAAAGAGGAAGAGUGGAGUUGCGAAAACCUUGAUCUAACUCUCACCCAACCUUGGGUCACUAGCUUUGAAGAAAAGGAAGCAACGAAAACGAAAAAUGGAGAAGGAUGGAAUUUUGGGUUUUUCUCGCGUGAGGUUCAGAGGAAGGAGAUGGAAAUUUGGAAAUUUCCUUCCUUUCUUUUUCUUUCCUUUGUUUUUCCUUUCUUCCUUUUUCCUUCCUUCCUUUAUAUACUAUUUUCUUUUCCUUUUCCUUCCUUCUAGUUUUCCUUUCUUUUUCCCUCCAAACAAACAUAUAUAAAUAUAAUAAAUAUAACUUAACAAAUAUCUCAAAAUCUAGAUAUUUAUUAAAUUACCGUUUCACCCGAAACGCCUUAAAUUAACCGUAAAGUAUUUUCCGCAGUUAAAUUCAAUUUAUUUAUCGACGAGAAAUUCUAAUUGGCAUCGAAAUAUCUUAUUGAUUAUAAAACUCCAAAAUAUUAUUAACUUUGGCUUAAAAGCAUCCGAGCCAAAAUCCAAAAUGUACCAAAAAUACAUAAAAGGUACUUUAAAAUUAUGGGUCUUACAGUUUGUUAAUGGGAUACAAUCAAAUAUAUUUUGAACUUGAAAUUGGAGAUUUGAAAUUUAAUAACAUUUUUUAAAGCAAAAUUGAAAGUGCAAAGAAACCAUGGCGAUAAAUUGACAUUUCAUUUGUAUUAGUUUUUUACAGCACCUUAAAAAUAUUAUUAUAAAAUGAAAAGAUCAACAACAAAAGAUAAAAUAAAAAAAGAACUGAAAUCCUCUAAAAUAGAAUAAUCUAUUUAUUUAUAUUAAUAAAAUGAGGUUAUUGUUUAAAUAGUAAGAGAUUGAAUGAGUAUAGUAAUACUUUUGUAAAUACAAUUAAUUAGUUUGUAUUCUUUUCUUUUCAACGUAUGUAAUCACGCCAUCAUUAACAUAUAAGAAAAUCAAAUCAGUAAUAUAGUUAAUAUAAAUUAUAAAAAUAAAAAUGUGUUAUAAUAUGUUGCUUUUGAUUAAUAAGUGUAUGAUUUCUUAACUAAUCCUAUACAAUCACUUUGUAAUGACUUUUAGAGUUUCUAUUUUUAGAGAUAUAACAUUAACUAGAUACUAACACGCAAGUUGCGCGGUAGAAUUUAAUACAUUAAGUAUAAAAUAACAAUAAUAUGUAAUUUAAAAGUAACGUUAAAAGUGUUUAUGUAUUUUAAAGUAAAUAUAUUUUUGAAUCAUUAUAUAUAAGUUAAGUUUACUUUAGUACAGAAAAAAAAAGUAAAACAUUGUUGACUAAUACAAUUCAUGCAAAAUAUAUUUAAAUAUGGAAUUGGUUUAUUCAAACUUUUUGAUUACAUUGAAGUGAUUCUUCUAAUAAUAUAUUUGUUAAAUAGUUAUGUAUUUCUUUAUUGUUAAAGUUAUACAUUUAGUUACAAUAUUUCUUCAUUUCAUAUAAUCUAUUAUAUAUAUUUAAAACAAACUCUCGAUGCCACCCCAUCAUAUUUCAUCAACGUAUACAAAUGUUUCCCAUAUCAGCCAAAAAGCUGAUGUGUACCUGAGUAUGCUCUCCUCCUUCAACAACUUCUUAAAUCUCUUCAACAACUUCUCCUCUUCCUUCCACAAUUUCUUUAAUACCUCCAAAAUCUAUUUCAUAAUAUUAUUUUAUAAUAAAUUUAUAAAUUAUAAAAUUAUUUUACAAUUAUUUAUAAUUUAUAAAUUAUUUUAUAAUUUGAUAAUAAUUUAUAAUUUAUAUUAUUAUCAAAUUAUUUUAUAAGUUAUUUUAUAAUUAAUUUAUAAAUUAUUUUAUAAUAUUAUUAGUCAUUUACCAAUGGUAAUAAUUUAUAUUAUUAGUAAUUAAAUUCAAUAAAAAAACCAUCUAAUCACUCAUAAAUAUCGUCAUAAAUACUCUUUAUCUAAUAUUUAAAGCACUUCUAUAUUCUUACAUGAAAAUUCUACGUCGUUCUAGAAUUAUCUAAUUUCAAAUUAGUAAAUAAAUACUACUUCCAAUAAGUUGAAUUCUCACACAAAUAAAUCAUUAAAAUGACAACUGGCUAAUUAAAAGCACACACUCAAUUACAAAUUUUAAAGGCAAAGUAAUGGAUUUGCACACCAAUCAGCAAAGCCGUAAAAUGUUUUCCCUGCUAUGUAAGAUAAAAACCAGCUACAUGCUACAAAUUUAAUGUGAUACAACAGUCCAAUAUAUUGUAGAAAAUGAAUGUUGCUAUUAAAACGAAUCCUAGCCAAUGACAUUUACCAUUAUAUAUCCUACUUGAAAAUUCACACCCAAAUAACAUAUGCUGGCACAUCUUAUUGCUCCUAAAACACAGUACGCAACAACGUUCACGCAUUCGAAAGCUGAAUCUUUCCAAAAACUUCAUUUGAUCACCAUUCCCUAGCCUUAAUUUGACAUUUCCGACGAUCCAGUUUGCAUUAAAGUUCGCUGUCAAGUUGAAAGACAACAAACCUCUCCACCAUAAUGAUUGAUACUUGUUUGUUCUUGCAACAUGCAGACAUAAAGCUGCUUCAGACAAGGUACUGUACCUGAACUAUAGCAACUCAUACCAAAUUCUUUGUGUCAACUAGAAAUCUCCAUCUCCACUUGGUCAGAAGGGUGAUGUUAAACUCCUUAAUGUUCUUUAUCCCUAAACCAAUGAGUUUCUUUGGUAAACAAACUUUAUCUCAUCCAAUCCAACAAUUCUUUUUUGAGUCUAUCACCCCGCUCCAAAGAAGGACAUAAAACAUAGAGUAAUGCAUGCUAAAACAGAAUUAAUAAGAGUUAUUCUGCCACCACAUUUUCUUAUAACCAUAUUCACAAUCGGCCGCCAUGCUGAAGUCCGCCGCUGAUUUGCACUGAUGGUUAAUCCUUGAAAUUUGAAGGGCACUAGCCAAUCAAGCAACACAAGAAAUUUGAUGUUGCGUUCAAUUGAUUAUUCCUCAUAUUCAAACCCGCCACACCACUUUUAGCAUUAUUUACUUUAAGACCCGAUAUCCGUAGGAAAUUGCAUAAGAUUACUUUUAACCCCCACAAAUUACUACUUGCAUCGUCACAUAUUAUUACGAUAUCGUUCGCAAACUGAAGCAAAGAGAAUGAGAUAUUACAAUGUACUAACCUCAGUACUUAAGGAAUAAGUUCUGGAAAUAAUUUAGUUACUUAGAAUAUAGGAAUAAAUUAGUUCUUUACGUUCACCUUAUAUCUUAAUAUAUGUUGAGAUUCAAGAGAGAUUUCUUUUUUUUUUUUUGGAAAAAGAUUUGUUUUAAAAUUAAUAAUAAUAUUUUAAUAAAAUUACAAAUUUUUUGUUAGAAAGGUAUUUUUCAGACGGUUUAGAAUUUUAAAUAUAUUAUUUAAUACUAUCUCUGGAAUGGAAUAAUCCUAUCUUUGGUCUUAUAUAUAAGAUAAAUAUCAGUGUACCACUAAAUUUAACGCAAAAAAACUCAUUUCAAAGUGAUUAAAUAAAAACUACAAGACCUAAUGUGACACCCUAAAUUUUAUGAUAAACUAUUUUAUUAAUUAAAUAGGAUUUUAAAUAAUUAAUUUGAUGUUAAAAUUAUUAUAAAAUAUAUGUUAAUAAACUUUGUGAUUAAUUUUUCUUUAUAUAGGUGAUUUAUAUAUUAUGCUAGUUUUAUAAGUAUUAGAUUACAUGAGCAAUAUAAAUAAUAAAUAUUAUAUUUUACUCUUUGAUCUAUUUUUUAAAAAUAAUAGUAUUUUAGUGUAAUAUAUAUAUUUAUUAAAAAAAAGAUUUUAUACGAUUUUACGUGUAUAUACGUGUACCCAAUUAAUGUAAUACUUUUAUGUGCGCUUGACUGAUAUUAAGUAUGUACGUAGCUAUAUUUUAAUUAUUUAUAACUAUUUUCUAUUUUAAGUUAUUUUUUUUAUAAAUAAUUAUCUUAAGAUAGCAGUGAUAUUGUGUUUGAUUCCUUUAUUUUUAUAUACCUAUUAUGACAUUGUGAUUUUAUAUAUAUUUAUUAAGAUUUAGUAAUUAAUAUAAAGUGUUGAUGUUAUAUUUAUUUAUUUUAUAAUUUCGACUAUUCUCUAAUGAUGGUAAUAUUUUAAUUUGAGUAUUUGGAAAAGUAAGUAUUAUUAUAGGGAUCAUUUGAAUAUGAAAGUGUUGGUUAUUAAUGUAUUUUAAAAGAUUAAUUAUUUUUAUUUAUAAAUUAUUAGUUUUGAAAUAUUAAUAAUGAUUUAUUAAUGAAAUUGUGUUUUAAAAAAAUAAUAAUAAUAAAACUAGUAAAACCUAAAAGGAGACCAAUGAGUUUGACCAAUUUGUGAACCCUAAAUGUUAAUAAAAUAAAACAAACAAUAAAAGAAAGGGAGUUGGACGGCGGCCGUAAAACCAAAGAGAAACACAACAACAAUCUAUAGUUUGACACCGAUGAUCGAUGAUUGUUCCAGAAAAGUUUCUCCGUUCUUGUCCAAAUUUCAGUAUGUCGUUUUAUUCAUUUAGGUAAUCAAAUAAACAUAUUUCCUCAGAUUUUUUAACCAUCCAAAUUUCUCUCUAAAAUACUCGACUUCUUCGUUUAUAAAAAUUCCUUAGUUUGAACCGUUCUCCUUCACCGUAAGUCCGAUUUGAGUGAAACCAACGCCAAAACGACCGUGUGAAAAAUUUCUAUUUUGUCCAAUGAUUUGUUUUCUGAUUUAUGAUUGAUUGAUGGAAAAAGAGUCAAUGAACAAAGGCUGUUUGCUCGUGGAAUCGUAUUCGUGUGUGAAAGCAUCGAAAUAAGGUAAGGGGGGAGAGAGCGUUUGAAUUCAUGAGUGUAAUAUAUUGUGAGAUGAACGGAAAAACCAUAUUUCCCAACAAUUUAUCCGGGGCUCGCUACGUAUGGCAGUAGCCCUUUGAGGGAUAAAUUAAUUAAUGUGAAAAUAUGGAAAUUGUGAGAUUAAAAUAUAGAAUAGAAAUAUUUGUAGGGUGUUGAUUGAUUUAAUUUGUUUGAAUGUGUGGCAUUUUAUAUUAUUGUGAUAUUUGAUUUAAUUUUGUUAAAUGUGUGACAUUUGAUAUUAUUGUGAUAUUUGAUUUAAUUUCGUGUGUGUGAUAUUAUUGUGAUAUUGGUUGUUGAAUUAAUUUUAUGCAUAUGUUUGAUUAGAUGAGUUUAAAUGAUGUUAUAAUAAAAAUAGAUGUGUUGUGAUAAUUAUAUGUAAUGAUGAUAAUGUAUGAUUAAUAAUGGUGAUGUGAUAAAUUUGUGAUGAAUAUAUGUGUUGUUGUAUGAUUGAUGAUAGUGAUUCUAUAAACUGUGAUGAGUUUAUGUAAUGAUGAUGAUGAUGUGUGAUUAAUUAUAGUGAUGUUAUAAAUUGUGAUGAAAAUAUUGUGAUUUCAAUUUGUGUCUGAGAUGAUGGUAUUAAUGGAGUAUCAUAUACCAACGAGUGGAGAAAAUAAAUAUUGUGAAUUUGUGAAGUGAAGAUUAUUUUGUCAUCAUAUAGGUAGGGUCUGACAAGCCUAGUGAUUCCGGGGAAGUACAACUGAAUGAGCCUGAUCGUGGCGGUCUGUUGUCGAGCUUUAAGGCAAGAUUGUUAGACCUUGGAGGUAUUCGGAUGGGGAAUUCCUAGGUGACUUGGAGGUAGCACUCCAAAUGUCGGGAGCUACCACGCAACACACGUUUACCUCGACUGUCACGUAUAUGUGUCUCGGGUUGAGUUGAGGGGAUCUAUGAGGACAUGGCCAAUUUGAAUUGUCCGUCCACCGGGAUGGUGGCAUAGUAUCAAGCCUCCUAACCAAGUACUUCAGAGUUAGAAUGGUACCACAUUGUGAAGUAGAGUUUAAGCUCAUGCAUAGCAUUGCAUUUACUUGUGAUUGUUUUGUGGUGAUUGAUGUGUUUCAAAAGUAAUAAUAAUUACUCUUAGAUGAUUUGAUGCAUAUUAUAAUGAGAUGAUUAUCUUACUUGAGUGAAUUCAAUGUUAUAAUAUGAUACUAUUUACUUAAAUAUUUUGAUAUAUGGUAAUGUGAUUAUGAUACGGUAUAUUAUGAUUGUUGCGUGUUCUUCUUACUUAUAUUAUACUAUUAUCAUGAUUUUGAAACUCACCUCCUUCGUUGUUUGUGUUUGACUGGCUUAGCCCUGCGUUUGUGAAAUCGUAGUUGUUACAGGUUAAUAAGUCUUGAAGUUCAAGUUUGGGAGGAACCCCGCUCUGAUAGGUGAUACCGGGAAUAAGGGUUGUAAUUUGUAUUUUACUUAUUUAUUUUGAAACGACUUUUGUAUGAAAACCAUAUAAGUACUAGUAGGUUUUUAGAAUUAAAUCAAGUAAUUAUACUUAAUUCAAGCUUAUUGAGAUUGCACUAUGGAGUAAAGAAGUUAAAGUGUUCCUUUUGAUUUUUGAGAAACGUGAUAUCCUAAAUUAAAAAUUAAAGUUUUAUUUUCUUGAAAACAUAUUUUAAUUUAUCCGCUGCAAAUUUUAUAGAAAUAUGAUAUAAAUUAUUAUAUAUAUUAUUUUGGGGUUUAGAGUGUCACACCUAACAUGCAUCAAACAAACAACAUUCCAUCAAACACUACUAGAAAAAUCCAUUUUAGCUGCCAUAUUUAGCGUCGGCCCCUGAGUUCGACGCUAGUUAGCGUCGGUGUAGCGUCAGUCAAGCAGACGCUAGAGUGUUAAAUUUUGGUUUUUAUUUUUAUUAAUAAUUAAAAUAAGGCAUACGCUACUUAAUUUAUUUAUUUUUUUAAUUAUAUGUUAAUAAUUCGCGUCGAUGUGGCUGACGCUACGUUUAUGAUUUUUAAAAUUAAUUUUUUUAAUAUUAUUUGAAAAAUUAAUCUAAAAACUUCGGUAUCCCCCAACACUCUCGCCUUCACUCCGUAUCCCUCAAGUUUUUCAGAUAACCCUAACUCUUGAACCUAUCACCCGAUCUCAUCCCUCUCGAUGCCGUCACCCACUCCGUCCUCACCGUCAAGCUCAGUCAUUUCCCUCACCUCGCUCACUCUCGUGGCCUCACCGUUUCCACUACAAAAAAAUUUGAAGAUUGCGGCACAUAGCUUGCGACUCGAGAUACACAUUAAUUGAAAUAGAAAGAGAAAUAGAAAAAUUGUGAAACUCUUGACCUCAGAUCCAAAUUCUCUGUAGUAGAAAACAUACACAUUUACUCACAUUAAUUGAUCUUGUCCAUUGAUUUGAGAUGGGUCAGUCCAUAACUCAGUUGUGGUAGAGAUGUAAUUCACCACCCACCCCUUUAAUAUAUUCAGUAUUGAAAAAGCCUUAUGUUGUAUUUCUGUUCUUUUGUGUUGUUUUGCACACUCUUGUACUACUCUUGACAAUUCACUAAAUGUUUUUUUCUUCUAGGUUAUCCAUGAUAGGGGUAGUGAAAUUAUUAUAGUGGGACGCGACAUCCUUAAGGCGGUGAAUCAGGCUGCGGCAGCUCGUGAAUAUCGUCUUCAAUGAUGGAGUGGAUAUUUGGACAAGUGCAAUUAAGGCCUGCAUUCCCUAACCAAAUGGAAGAGUCCAAGUUCAUACUUGUUGAGAUGUUUAAUUCUGCAGCAGUUUAUAAAUAGCAUAAGUUGUUAAGCAGUUUAUAAAUAGCAUAAGUAAUUUCAUACUUUUUGAGAUGUUUAUAAGCAGUUUAUAAUUCUGCAACAGUUUAUAAAUAGCAUACUUUUUCAGUCCAAGUUCAUAUUUGUUAAAAUUGUUAUUUGAUACUAUGUUAUUAUUUUGUAGUUUCAGAACACAUGAUACUUUUUUAAGUUGUUAAUUAAUACUAUCGUGCAUUUAUUAUGUUGUCAAUGCAAUGACUUUUAAUGUUUCUUACCUAUCAAUUAUUAUAUAAGACGUUGAAAUUUAAUUGAGCAGGUGCUAAAAAAAUAAAAAUAAAAAACUAAAUAAAUUUAAACCUAGCGUCGGAACGGGCGACGCUACCUAUUUUGUUGACUACAACUUGUUGACUUUAGCGUCGGCCAUCCGACGCAAAUAUUUUUCCCCAACUGACGUGUCAACUGGCAUAACUAGCGUCUGAUAUUUCAAUUUUGUUAAAAGCGUCGGCUUAGAGUAGACAUGGUCGACACUAAUAUAGCGUCAGAUGGUGUUUGGCUGACGCUAUGUAUUAGCUUCGACCGUUUUAGCAUAGGCCCGACACUGACGCUAAUCCGACGCUAAAUCAACGUUUGCGUCGGCUUUUGACCUAUUAGCGUCGGCUUGUGGCCGACGCUAAAUCCAGUUUUUCUAGUAGGGAAAUAACAAGAGUCCUCCACAAAAAUGAGUAUAUAUAAUAAACAAACUGAAAGAGAAAUAAGACUAAGAAUAGUUUCAUAUAUAUAGAUCUAUGAUAAAAACAUACAUAGAAAAAUUAAAAGAAAACAAUCAAAAUUCAUAGACUUCUCUCAAAACUUAUCAUACCUCUCAAUACACACAUUUUCUCUAAAGCAAUUAUUUAAACAUCUCAAGACACUUUCACACAAGAGUAUAUAACAUUUCACUACGUCAAAAAUGACAUUUUAUAGCGCGCCUUUUAUAGCGCUUAUUAAAUACAAGCGCUGUUGUAUAAUAUUUUAAAAAUAACGGAGGAUACAACAACGCUUUUUUGACAAGUGUUGUGGAAAAAGCGUUGUUGUAGGGUCACAUAGCGCUUGCACAUAAUGUUUACAAGACUUUUACAGUGUUUUUUGAGCGUUUUAAACACAAGCGCUGUAAAAUAUAACGCUCCCACCUUAUGUUACAUAGCUUUUAAAACGCUUUUUUGGCAAGCGCUGUAAAAGACUUGCGCUUUCACAUAAUUAAAUGACCUAUUAGAGCGCUUUUUAUACAAGUGCUGUAAAAGACUUGCGCUUUCACAUAAUUAAAGGACCUAUUAGAGCCCUUAUUAUACAAGCGCUGUAAAAUCGUUCACUUUAAAUAAAAAUUAUUUACUUGAAAUAAAUAAAAACAAAUUUAAAACAAAUUUAAUACAUUGUCCUAACCCUACGAACCCUCAUCUCCUCUACUCUGUGAACCCUCCUCUCCUCUACUGUGCACCCAUCAAUUGCUCCUCCUUUAAAAAAAAAUUGGAUACACUGUCUCAGGUACUGUAUUUAUUAAUUUGUUGUUGUCACUAAAACUAAUAAAUUGUUACAUAAUAAAUCAUAUAAAAUCUAUUCUUUUUUGAAAUUUGUUGACAGGUUCUGUUUUGAAAUCAGACUUGGACCUUGGUUUCCAUUUUCCAAUAUUAGAUAUAUGUACUAUAUAUUGACAUAAUGUUAUCAGUAGCUUAUUAUUUGUGUAACUGCAUUUAUAUAGGUCAUAUAAAAUGGGCCGGAAAUGGAUGUUUGCCAAUCGAUUAUCAAAAGAGUAUGAAAAUGGAGUGAAGGAGUUUGUUGAGUUUGCAGUGAAGAAUGAAAAAGAUCCAAAUAGAGUUGUUUGUCCUUGUUUAAAAUGUUGUUUUGGAAAAUGCAUUAGAAAAUAUGAAUUGGAAGGACAUUUAGUAUGGCAUGGAAUUGAUCAAAGCUAUACAUGUUGGAUAAGACAUGGUGAGAAGAAAAAGGAGACAUUAAUUUUGAGAAUGGUUCGACAUGUGCUUCAACUGAUUUCGACACAGAUACAUAUGACCCGGACCGAGUUAAGGAGAUUGCAAAAGCAAUUGAAGAAGAUCUUUGGGAUUGUCCUAAAAUGUUUGAGAGUUUGUUGAGUGAUGCAUAGAAACCAUUAUAUAAUGGUUGUACUAAAUUCACAAGACUGUCAGCAAUAUUAAAAUUGUACAACUUAAAAGCGAGUAACGGAUGGUCUGAUAAAAGCUUCACAUAAUUAUUAACACUCUUAAAAGAUAUGUUGUCAGAUGAUAAUGAACUUCCCAAUUGAACCUACGAGGCUAAACAAAUUUUGUGCUCUAUUGGCAUAAGUUACAAAAGGAUUCAUGCGUGUCCUAACGAUUGCAUUUUAUUUCGAAACGAAUAUGAACUACUUAAGGCGUGUCCGAAAUGCAAUGUCUCUCGAUAUAAGAAGAAAGAAUCUACUCCAGCAAAAGUCGUGUGGUAUUUUCCUAUAAUACCAAGAUUUAGGCGCAUGUAUCGCAGUGAAGAAGAUUCAAAACACUUGACAUGGCAUGCAAAUGAAAGAAUUAGAGAUGGAAUGUUUCGACACCCUGCAGAUUCCCCACAAUGGGCAAAAAUUGAUCACGAGUAUCCUGAAUUCGGGAUAGAGUCAAGAAAUCUAAGACUUGCACUUUCUACUGAUGGAAUGAAUCCACAUGGUCUUCAAAGCAUCUCACAUAGCACGUGGCAUGUGAUUUUGGUAAUAUAGCUGGUCAAAACUAGGUGGAAGAAAAAGUCAAUUUUCUUUGAAUUGCCAUAUUGGAAGUCAUUGAAUAUAAGACAUUUCCUCGAUGUGAUGCAUAUUGAAAAAAAUGUAUUUGAUAGUGUUAUUGGUACGUUACUCAAUUCUCCUUGAAAGUCUAAAGAUGACAUCAAUGCAAGAUUGGACUUGGCGAUAUAGGAAUAAGAAAUGAAUUGAGUCCCUUAAAGAAAGAAAAUCGCACAUAUCUACCUCCAGCCGCUCAUACUCUAUCUAGAAAGGAAAAAAAAUUGUGAAAAUUUCUACACGAAGUUAAAGUUCCAGAAGGAUACUCUUCAAACAUUAAAAAUUUAGUUUGUAUGAAAGACCUCAAGUUAAAAGGUUUGAAGACCCAUGAUUGUCAUAUUCUAAUGGAGCAUUUGCUACCAAUAGGUAUACGUUCCAUUUUACCUGAACAAGUUCGACGAGCCAUAACUAGAUUAUGUUUCUUCUUCAGUGAAAUUUGUAGAGGGAAAUUGUUGUUACUUUGUGUGAGCUUGAAAUGUAUUUCUCACCCUCGUUUUUUGAUAUAAUGGUUCACCUUACUGUUCAUCUUGUUAAGGAGACACAACUUUGUGGGCCAGCUUAUAUGAGAUGGAUGUAUCUGAUAGAAUGAUAUAUGAAAAUAUUAAAAGGGUACGUAAAAACUAGAAGUCGACCAGAAGGUUGUAUUGCUGAACGGUACAUUGUCGAAAAAGCUGUUGAAUUUUAUACUGAAUAUUUGUCCAAUGUUGAGUCCAUAGGACUUCCCAUGUCUCGUCAUUCGGUAAGAAUAUUAGGAGAAGGGAUAAUUGGAAAGAGACUAAUGAUUAUAUCAUGGACAGAUUUGGAGCAGGCACAAUUGUAUGUUCUGCACAAUGAUGAUGAGGUUCAACCUUAUGUAACAAUACACAUGGACUAGUUAUCUAGUUUGAACAAGAAUAAGAAUCAAAAUUGGAUAACUCGAGAGCACAAUCGAAGUUUAUAACAUUGUUAAAUAAUCACAUAAAGUCAAAGUUUGAUAUAGACCCGAGAUAAAUUUCACAGAGAUUGAGGUGGCUAUCAAAUGGUCUGAGUUUACAUGUCUUUUCUUACACCGGUUAUGUAAUUAACGGCUACACAUUUUAUACCAAAGAACAAGAUGAUCAAACCACUAUAAAAAAUAGCGGAGUUAGACUCAUAGCUGAAGCGAUGCAUAUCUCAAGCGCAAAAGACAAAAAUCCAAUAUAUGCAAAUCUAUCAUAUUUUGGGGUUAUCGAGCACAUAUGGGAGUUAGACUACACAAUGUUUCGUGUUCCCAUAUUUGGUUGCAAGUGGGUCGUUAAUAAUAAUGACAUUCGGAUUGAUGAGUCAGGGUUCUUGCUUGUCAAUUUUAAUAGGGUGGGAUACAAAGAUGAGCCUUUUAUUUUAGCGUCGCAAGCUCAACAAGGGUUUUAUGUCACUGAUCCUGCUGAUGAUAAAUGGUUCGUUGUCCUAUCGACUAAUAAAAUAAGUGAUGAUAACAAUAAUGAUGAAUAUGUUGGUAAUGAUCUUUUCUUUGCAACAUCACAACCACAUGAAAUUGAUUCAACUGAUGAUGGUUUAUAUCUUAGAGAUGAUCAUGAUGAGGGAAUUUGGAUUAAUCCAUCGUUUCGUAUCGUUAAUGGACAAACAAAUCUGAAUCCCACCAGAAAAAGAAGAAGGGCAUCUUAAUGUGUUUAAUUAUUUUAUAUAAGUCAUGUAAUCUGAACUGAGUUCGUGUAAUCUAAUUGUUUGAUCUGCCAGAAUUGAACAUUAUAGUAUUUAGCUUGCACUGUAUUUGAUUUUCUGCUUAUACUUAUUUUCUGCUAAUAUUAGCUUUAUCUUAGUGUUUUAUCUAAGUUCAUGUAAUUUAAGUUUACGUUUGACCUGCCAUAACUAAUUUUCAACUUAUAUUGAACUUGAAAAAGCUUUGUUUGAGUAUUGGGAAUUUUUCUUGAACUUGAACUGAUAAUCCCAAUAUGAGUUGAUCGUGUAAUUUAGCAUUGAUAUAUAUAUAUAUAUAUAUAGGUAUUUAACUAAUUAUUUGGAAGAAAAAAGAAUCCAAACUUGUAAUUCUACAGCGCUUUUGUCAAUAAGCGCUAUAAAAGCGUUUAAAAAAAAUAAGGAGCUCACAAAGCUUUGUUUUAUACUAAGUUAAAGAGGUCUUUAAAAGCGCUUGUUGCAAAAGCGCUGUAAAAGGCUUUUAAAAAAUAAAAUAAGGAGGUCACAAAGCUUUGUUUUAUACUAAGUUAAAGAGGUCUUUUAAAGCGCUUGUUGCAAAAACGCUGUAAAAGCUUUUAAAAAAAAUAAGGAGGUCACAAAGCUUUGUUUUAUACUAAGUUAAAGAGGUCUGUUAAAACGCUUGUUGCAAAAGCGUUGUAAAAGCCUUUAAAAAAAUAAGGAGGUCAUAAAGCUUUGUUUUAUACUAAGUUAAAGAGGUCUUUUAAAGCGUUUAUUGCAAAAGCGAUGUAAAAGGCUUUUAAAAAAUAAAAUAAGGAGGUCUGUUACAGCGCUUUUGGACAAGCACUUUAAAAGGCUUCUAAAAAAACGCUGUAAUAGGCUUUUAAAAAAUAAAAUAAGGAGGUAUUUUACAACGCUCUUUCAAAAAAGCGUUGUAAGGUUGUUCUAUAUAUAAUAGUAAACCGCUUCAGUUUCCUCUUCAUUUUGUUAACUUCACUACGCUUCAGAGUCCUCCUCCUCUUCAUUGUCCUUCUCUUUGCGAACCCUACGAACUAUUUUGCCAACCAUCUCCAUCUUUGUUAUUAUCCCUACAAACAUUAUUACGUACUCUUCUCAUUGAAAUACGUAACCAUCAUUACAUAUUUAUGCGAACCCUACUCUGUCCUAUGAAUCGUUCGUAUUUCUGCGUAUUCUCGAUGUUCCUUCUUAAACGAAGCCGUAACCCUACGAACCCUACGUAUUUCUUCGCACUCUUCAAGUAUUGUAUUUAUUAAUUUUUUGCUGUCAUUAAAAUGCAUGUUGAACUUAUAUUGCUACGUACUUAGACUACUGCAUGUUGAACUUGUUGUAGAUAAAUGGAUUCUAACAAGGCGUUGAAGUAAUGGCAUAAAAUUUGAGGUAUACUGUACUUUGUUUGCUGUUUAUUUUUUUAUCUUUUUUGAAAGCAUGUACUUACUAUAUGAGUUUAUUAGGUGGGAUGGAAUGAAAGUGGCCAGCCAAUUCAGCCCAACAGUUCCAUGUUGGUAAGUUAUAUUGGUGUUGUUGUUCGUCAGAAUAUCCCAAUUACAAUUAACGAUUGGAGAGAUAAGGCUUUGAAGGAUGCAAAAGAUAUACUGUGGAAUGAUAUAAAAGUAACUUUUUUACUCCACUUUUUUGUUACUUAUAUUUUUUUCCAUUGAAAUACUUUGCUCAAACUAUAUAUUUAUUUGGUUUGCAGUCUGCUUAUGAUGUUGAUGAGGUGAGAAAAACUUACGGGCUUAGAGUUGCCGGAAAAAUACACCGAGGAUUUAGAUCUCAUUUUUCAAACUGCUACCUAAGAGAUCGUGAUGGAAAUAUGAAUGUUGAAGCUCCAAAAAUAUAUUAACACUAUAUAUCAAAUGACGAAUGGAGCGCAUUUGUAGCUAAACGUGCAGACCCCGCGUUUGUGGUAAGUGAUUAAUUUAUUAGCAUUUGUGUUUUAUUAUUCAUAUUCAUAGCGUAUUUUAAAUUCUUAAACGAUUGUUAUUUUUUUUUUAUAUAGAGUAUAAGUACGCAAAAUCGCGAGAGGGCCAAAAAUCCAACGCAUCCAUACAAAAAAUCUCGUAUGGGAUAUGCACGUUUUGAGCAAAAAAUUGUAAGUAUACAUCACUUUUAUAUAAUGUGGUACAUUAUAAACUAUAGUUUCUAACUAAUAUUUUGUUUAUGAUCUUAACGAAUAGCUUUUGUUUAUGUCUUAAUGAAUAGCUACAAGAGACCCAAUCCGAUCAACCAUUGGAUCGUCAUAUUUUGUGGAAGGAGGCUCGUGUAAAUAAAGAUGGAGUUGUUAAUAAUGAAAAUGUUCAAAAAGUGAUACAACUUUGUGUAAGUAUAUUAUCACUUUAAUAUUUUUAAAUAUUGUAUUUUAAAAAUGAUAUUGAACUUAUCUAUUUAAUCUUACGUGUAUUUUAGGAGAAUCUAGAACAAAGUUCUGAAAAUCAAGAGGACAACAAAAAAGUUAGUUGCAGGAACAUACUCGGUAAAGUAUUUAAUGUUUCUGAAUAUUUCGGCCACGUGAGGGGAAAGGAUUUGGCGUAACUCCAACCCGCUAUUUUUCACAAGAGAAGUGCCCAAAUCCAUCUAAUGAUGAAGUAUUAGAGAAGGUCAAAGUCAUAACAGAACAAGUGGCAUUCUUGGUGAAGACGAAUAAAGAAAAGCAACUUACGAAUCAGCUCCAACGUGAAAUACAAAUGGAGAGUGAAAACGCUAGUUGCAACAUUGGUCUUAAAAGUCUUCCCGAGGUAAUUAAUUACUUAAUAGAAUAAGAAAUUCAUUCAACCUAAUUGUUUCACAUACUUAUGUAUUAACCAUUGAUUUAGGGUAUCUCUACUUACGUGUUGUAUUUAUCCUCCCCUACUCAUCGCAUGGUUGGAAAAGGAACAUUGUACAAUUCUUUGGGAGAAGUAUUGCACAACACUCCGAUCCCUGCCAGCCAUGUCAAAGUAUCACCCGUGAUUGCUUUUGAACCAAAUGCGCUGUUGCCUAUACCGGACAACGAUGGAGAUAUGAAGUAUAUGGGAGAAGCAAUUGGUAGUUACGUGGCAUGGCCCAAAAAUCUUGUUGCCCUUGAUAAGGUAUGUUUAAUUGAAAUGUAUGUUUAAUUGAUAUGUAUAUUUAAUUGCACGAUAUACGAUUAUGAUUGAUUAUAUUUAACUGCUAAUUUUUUCCGUUGUUAACUUUAAUUUCACAUUUAUUUAGAUUCAUACAAAGUCUAAAGGGAAUGACAAGAAGAUUCCCCGCAACGAGUCACUCACGUCACCAGAAAAGAAAAAGGUUUGUCACAUUUAUUCUGGCAGGUUUGUCAUUUUUUUUCAGAUUCAAUUAACUAACAAAUUGAUUAACCUCAUUUUUUCAGAUUCAAUCAAAACCACCCGCACAACAAACCUGCCAGAAUAAAGCCGCACCACAGCUGGACGUUUGUGGUAAAAAUAAAGCUGGCAAACUUUAAAUUUUAGAGGAAAAGGUUUGUCACAUUUAUUCUGGCAGGUUUGUCAUUUUUUUUUUUCAGAUUCAAAUAACUAACAAACUGAUUAACCUCAUUUUUUCAGAUUCAAUCAAAACCACCUGCACAGCAAACCUGCCAGAAUAAAGCCGCACCACAGUUGGAGGGUAAUAAAGUUGCCAAAAUUCAAAAACUCGAUCGGGGUAAAUUAGUUGUUGCUCCUAAAAUAAGUCAUCCACGCCUUGCUCGAUUUGGGUCGUGUCAUGACAUACAAGCAAAAAUGAAUAUGGACAGCAACGAUUCACGUAUCAUAAGCAUGGGGAAAGCUAUUUUUGGAGAUGAGUAUGAAACCUACUUGAAAAAAAACACAUAUACGAACUUCUCAAUCAUAAGGAGCUGAGUGCUACUAUCAUCAGCUGAUACAUUAGGUAAAAUACUUUAUUUAAGAUAAAAAUUACUUUUAAUUGCAUUUAUUGGUAAUUAAUUUAAUUUAUUGGUAAUUAAUCUAAUUUGACAUUUUCAUUGAAGGUUUUUGUAUGAGAAGUUGGUGUGCACGUGCAAAUUGUCAGAUAGAUUUUCAUUCUUGUCUCCACAUAAGCUUUCAAUGUUUAAACUUGAUCCAGUUAAUGUAAAAAAAUAUGUUGUAGAUAUCCUAUUGGGAAAUAAAGAGAAGGAUAAGUUGUUCCUUGCGCCAUAUAAUUCAGGGUAAUUAUAUAUUCUUUAUUUAUAUCUUUUUUAAUUUAUGAGAUCUUAAUUUAUUAGUUGUGUAAACAAAAUUGUCAACCAAAUUUUUGUUGUUGUAGGGAACAUUGGGUGUUGUUUGCAAUUAAUGCAACCUCUGAAGUUAUAUACUAUUUAGAUCCCUUGCACGACCAUUACAGCAAUCACUCAGAAAGACUAUCUUCAACACAUAAGUAAUAAUCAUUAUUUCUUACAUAUAUAUAUAUAUAUAUAUAUGUAAUGUGUUUGUUAAUGCUAUAAUAAUCACAUUUAUUUGAUAGUGUUUUACAAGUUUUCCGAUCUAAAAGGGGUGCUACAUUGUCGAAGCAAACGUCAAAUAACAUCACAUGGAUUCCAAUAAAGGUUUGAAAUAUAUGCCUUUAAAAUUUCAUUAACAAUCAAUGCACAAAUAUUUAUUGACUUAUAUGUUUUAUUUUAUAGUGCACUUGUCAAACUAACAACAUAGACUGCAGGUAUUAUAUAUUGUGAUUCAUGAAGGAGAUUGUUGAUAUGAAUCAAACUAUAAUCCCAGAAACGGUAUGAUAUUUUCAUUAUAUUUUGAUUUUCAUAUAUAAACUAUGUAUCUAUUUGAUUCUAACUUAUUUAUGUUCAAAUUUUAUAUCGCACAGUACUUUGACAAUUCCAGUCCAACAUACAGAGAUCUAAGUGAAAUAAAGGAAGACUGUUGUAAAUAUGUGAUCGAAAUAAAAAUUAUUUGAUUUUUUGGGAAAUUGGCAUGCUGCAAGGUUGUGAAUAUGUAAAUGUAAAAAAUAUGUGUUGUGUUGCAAGAUUCUGUUGUGAAUAUGUAAAGUUAUAUAGUUCUGUGUUUUUGUGAAUAUGUAAAUGUAAAAAAUAUGUAAUUGUGUCAAGUUAUAUAGUUCUGGUUAUGUUGUGAAUAUGUAAAGUUAUAUAGUUCUGGUUAUGUUGUGAAUAUGUAAAGUUAUAAAGUUAUGUAGUUCUGUUGUUGUGAAAAUGAUUGCUGGAUGAAAACUGAUUGUAAACUGAUUGCUGGAUGAAAAAUGAUUGCUGGAUGAAAACUGAUUGUAAACUAAUUACUAGAUGAAAAUGAUUUUGGAAGAAAAUUAAAAGACAGCGCUUUCUUAAAAAAAUGCCAUAAAAAACCUAUUUAUACAAACAAGCGUUAUUUUAAAAAUUUCAUUUACAACGUUUUUUUAAUAAAAAUAGAAUAAGAAUGCACCUAUUACAUCACUUUUUUUUUGAAAAAGCACUGUAAAACGUGCAUAAGAAUGCACCUAUUACAACGCUUUUUUGAAAAAGCGCUGUAAAACGUGCAUAAGAAAGCACCUAUUACAGCGCUUUUUUGAAAAAGCACUGUAAAACUAGUACAACAAGCAGCGCAUUUUUAGAAGGGAUUUACAACGCUUUUUUGAAAAAGCGCUCUAAAACGUGCAUAAGAAUGAACCUAUUACAACACUUUUUUGAAAAAAUGUUGUAAAACUAGUACAACAAGCAUCGCGUUUAUGAAGGGAUUUACAACGCUUUUUUAUUUUAAAUAGCGUCGUUGUAUCUUUUUAAGGCACUAGAUACUACAACGCUUAAUUUUUUGAAAAAACGUUGUAAAUGGCCUAAAAAUAACGUUGUAAAAUACUAUUUUUUGCGUAGUAGUUGCCUCUCUCUUCCUUUACAAUACUAAUCAAUAAGGAACUUUUUCAAAUUCUUCAAUUGCAACCAAACUCAUCACUAUGUGUAAAUAUCAAACUCAAUGGUAAAAUCAAAUAGUAAUGAGUUUGGUUGAAAUAAAGCAACACUUCUUUUUCAGGCGACACACUUUUAUGGUUCUAUAGAUGUUGCUUUAACUUAAUUUGUUUUUAUCUUUUGUUUUAAUUUGAUGUUGGCUCUACUUGAGGAGUUACUCCUUAACACAAGGGUAUAAUUAGGGAUGUCAAAAAGUGCAUCGGGUGGAUAAUGAAUCUAAAUGUAUCAUUAGUAUCGUUUGUGAACUAUCUAUCAUAGUAUAGAUUGUUUUUUUCUGUGGUUCGAUAACAGUUUGAUUUUUAUUUUUUGGGUUUUUAAACCUUCUUAGAUAAUACUAAUAUCAAUUAAUAAUAGCAAUUCAAGAGGGUUCCAUUCAAAGAAGUAUAGUUCAAGUUUUAGUAAAAGUAGUUUUUGGUUCAGUUCAGAUUAGUUUAUUUUGAUUUUAUUAGUUUGGUUAGGCUCAAGACAAACAAUUAACGGUUCAAUUUUAUCAACGUGUUGUAACGGUCAAUUCAAUUAUAUUUGAUUCAAUUUUUUAUCAACCAAACUACGUAACAAUCCUAGGUAUAAAUAUAUAAUACUAGUUUUAUAAGAAAAUUUCUUGCACCUCUUAUGCUUAUGCAUUGUUCUGCCUUAUUUUCCAUUAAAGCCCGCGUCCAUGUUUAUUUGCUAAAGUUUUCUGUACACAUUUUUUUGCUUUUCAAUAGAAAUUCAGAUGAAUUUAAAUAUAGUACACUAUAAAUGAGAUACAAUAUUAAUUUUUUAUGAAUUACAUGACUUUUUUUAUAUAGAAACAAGAUAAAACAAAUUAAAAAAAUAAUGCCCCAUAAUAAACAAAUAAAUGUCAAUUGCACUUUUGAUAAGAAGUUGAUGCGGAUUAAUACCGUGACUACAAGCGUGAAGGAUAAUAGUUAACAGGAAAAUAAGAAACUACAAUUGGAGCUCCCUUUGAAAUUUCCUUACUCUGUGGUUUCUUUGAAGAUGAAGAUUUUGAUUGAGAUAUUUCAUCAUAAUCAGAAACUUUAGAUGAUAAGUUAGAAGAGUGGCCAAAGCAACUGAAGAAAGAUGAAAUCAAAGCCAUCAAUAAGUGAUUUAAUUUUAUCUACGUAGCCACAAGGUGCAAUGAAACAAAAAUUAAAGUGAAUUGAAAUGGGUUUCUUCUGUUUAUCAAAGUGUGCAAAACUGAAAUGAUUGAGUUGU
rnacentral:lncRNA from 1 species